AACGACUCCACCAUCCGCUGCAUCUGGGGCAAGGUCACCCGCCCGCACGGCAACUCCGGCGUCGUCCGCGCCAAGUUCCGGUCCAACCUCCCGCCCACCUCCAUGGUAAAUCUCGCUCUCUCCGUCGUCCGCGCUAUCCAUUGAUCCCUUCCUGUUUUGGUCCAGUCGUAUGUAGUUUCGUUGUCCAUUUCUGAUGUUUUAUGCUGGAUUGUUUUGGUGGUGCAGGGCAAGAAGGUCCGCGUCUUCAUGUACCCUAGCAGCAUCUAAGGUAGAGUGCUGUACUUAGUUCCAAUUGUUUCAAGCUUUUACAAUGUGGUGAUGUAUUAUUGACUAUUGCUUCUGGUUAUGUUUAUUGUUCAUUGAAUCAUCGAGCUCGUGGGGUUGGUCAGAAUCUUGUGCAAUUGUUCCCUGGAUUCUGUAUUUGUGACAGUUGUUGCCUGAUUAGAUGGAAUGGUGCAUUGUUAGGUUUUGGUGUGAGUGAUCAUUAUGUUUGUGUCUAAGGGCUCCAUGCCAAUGGGGGAAGCUCUUUUGCUAGCUUCGAAAUACCUGCAGGUUCUCUGCGGGGUGCUCGGAAGUUGGGGCCCUAGAUAAAAUUCAGCGGUCUCAUAGUACGAGGCUAUGCUUUGGUUGAUGGGUCUCUCAUCAACCUGUUCCUCACAGCCUUGCCUCCAAUGACCUCAAUAUCUGUUAAUCUAAUAUGUCAGUUUCCUACUGUUAACUAGUAUUCAUGCGAGCCCGAGUGACAUAGUGAUCUCGAGGGUUGUAAACUAAUGUGUUACACUAUAUGCUUUGCCGUUUAAUUGAUCUAGGUGUCCUUCAUACUUUGUCCUUGUUUAGGGGUCCCAAUCCAGUUUAGGAUGAUAGCCCCAUCCUGACUAAAAAGGAAUUGGGGUGGCAGGAGGAAUUGCCUGAGAUCCCUGAGAUCGGUUUGCUCUGGAUUUUUUACCUGAUGAUGGAUCAAAUCCCUUAUUAUGCAUAAAUGUAGAAAUUGGUGAGUCUUAGCAUUGGAAGUUGAAAACGUUAAUGACUAUUUAUUGGCGGCUAUCUGCAUUAUCUGAUCCAGUGGUGUCCUGGUUGACUAGUGGAACACAACUUGGAACACAACCAUCUCUCGGUAUUGUGGUAUGAUAGAAACCUACCGUGUGGGAUUUCUUCAUAAUUUUGUGACUUUGUGUUGAUAGUUGAUAAUGUCUUCAGAGCAUAAUGCAGUCCGUUUGGUAUAAUAUAUUUUGCUAUCAUUGUGUUUUUUUUUUUGUGCUUAUCUCCCUUUUGCAUAACAAGUCAAAAGUUUGAAAACUAACAGUAAUUUCACUUUUAACUGAAACAGGUUUCUUGCCUAUUCUGCAAAACUGGUAGUUGGCAUCGUGGAGGUUUUAUAUCAGCUAGUCACUUGGUUUACCGGCCAGAGAAAUUUAAGCGAUUUUGAGGAGUUUAGCUUUUGUUUUACUGCACAGACUAUCUGGUUGCAUCUUGUACAACGCAUGCCAAUCACUCAUUUGCGUUGAAAUGAUAUUUCCAUGCGGUGUUAACUCUUUAUCUGUAAUUUCUGUCUGAUUGUCAUGGUGACUGUCAAAUGCAACCUUCUAUAGCUUUCCAUGAACCAGAUGCCCUUUGAUCUAUACAAACAUAACAUCGCUAUUGUGAACCAAAUCAUCGUAUCAAAAGUUCAAAACUGUUGGCUUGCAGUAUUUUAGGAUAGUGAUCUUGCGACUGCUAAAGUGUUGUUUUUUACUACGUAGCAACAUUUUGUGGUGGAGGUAGUAGUUGGCUUCCAUUAUCUGAUUCGUGAUACCUUGCGUGUAAAAUGGGAACUACAGGGAUCUCAUUCGAUUGGAUGACUUUGUACUGGACUUCUGUGUCGUGCGUCAAGUGAACUGCGUGUGGUGUAGUGUGCCAAUAUUCUUUGCGACCUCCCAGUCAAUCCUACUAGUUAGUAUACUUAAAAUAAGAAGCAAGUAUAUUUGAAUUUAAAUGUAGUAUACUUCAAACAAGAAGAGUCGUGUUCACAGUACUAGUAUAUUAGAAUUUAAAUUUGCUAAUUGAAAACACUAUCCCACAUCAAAUUUUUCGGCACCGCUGCAUCGCGACGAGAUCAAAUCUACAGGAAACCGCGCGAGAUCAACCGGCUUUUCAACUCUUCCGAAAUGCCGGAGCAGCCGUGCCUAGCGCCGCGCCACCGCGGAAUCGCCGGCGCGGAUGCGUGAAUCCUCUCACCUGCGAGGCUGCGACUGCGACGCUACACACACUGACGUCUCGGUCUCAAAAAAAAGUAGUUGUUACACUCCUCCCGGCAUUCGAGUCCCAGACGAAUCCGACGCCGAGAUAAGUGACGGGGGAGAUGGAGAUUGGUCGUCUCGUGCGGAAGCAGACGCAGCCAGGCUGGGCACCAACCACCCGAGGAGGAGGAAGACGACGACCACUCGCUCUCGCGCUCGGGCGGCUCUCGUCCCGUCGUCCGGUGCGGUGCCGCUGCCUCGCCGCCAUGCAGACUUCGCCGCCGCCGCCGUCCGUGCGCACGGUCUCCAUCCCCUUCUCCGACCUCAAGGUAAGAGAGGAACCCGCUGCAUAGCGUCGUAUGGUUCUUGAUUCCAUCAGAGUUGCGACGCCGUUUUCUCUGCUGCUGAUGCAGGAGAGGGAUAGGGACCUGAGCGGGAAGAUCGAGGAAGGGCUCGGGCCCAACGGGCUCGGGAUCAUCUCCAUUGCUGACGUGAGUGUGACGCGUUGAAAACUGAUGCGCGCUGCGUUCCUGGCCUGCAGAGAAAAUUUCGAGUUCCUGAACUGAAUUUUGUAGCCGUCUUUUUGCAGGUGCCUGGUUUUCCCGUGCUAAGGAAAACGUUGCUGCGCCUGGCACCAAAGUAUGUUCUUCUCUUAGUCUCAUCUUUGUGUUGUUCAUAGGAGGCACAUUUCAGUUUCAACAUUUGCUUGAUAUUUGUAGUGAAAUCUCUUGUUGCUUGCUUCCAUUUUUUUUUAGAUUUGCAAACCUUCCUGAAGAUGUGAAGAAAGAACUUGAAGACCCAGACAGCAGGUGAAAACAGAACUGCAUGGUGGUGCCAUUUGGUUCUGUACUUAUGUUCUUAAUCACGAAUUUGAUGUAGCCUAUUAUGUCCUCCAAUUGGGAGCUCCUAGUUAGGAUCAACACCUGAAUUGUACUUCAACUUCUAUCCAUUUUGACAGUCUAGAGUGAGUACACAGCAAUGAUGAGUUUGCUCCUUUGCCUCUUAGGUUUAACUUUGGAUGGAGUCAUGGGAAAGAGAAACUUGAGUCAGGGAAACUCGGUAAGCACUUUUGCACUUUUAUCUAAUUAUACAUCUUACCAUAUGUGAGAUAUUGCACUUUAUUGAAAAGAUCUGUAUCACAGACACAUUCAAAGGCUCCUUUUAUGCCAACCCAAUUUUGGAUGCUCCAACCACUGAUGAUGUACUUGUGAGAAGGUUCGUUUUUUCAUACAUAAAUAAUUUAACUCAGUUUACUGUUACAAUUUAGCACUGGAGAAAACUGAACAAUUUGGCAACCUUUAUUAUUCUAACUCCAACGAAUUUAGUAUGAUUUGAGUUAAUUAAAGUUUAAUUAUCUUACUAUGGUCGAUCAUUUGUAUCACUCAAAAUGACCUAUUGUAUUGCUAGUGCAAAAGAGUUGUAUCAUAUACUCAUAAAGACCAAAUAUGACCCUUAUUAUAGGUGUUUUUAAUGUAAUAUUGAACCAGCAGGUACCCAUCUUAUUGCCGAACAAAUAUAUGGCCAGCCAGUCAUCUUCCUGAGCUCGAAAUAGGUAUGACUGACUGACCAUAUGUAUGUAUAUUGACUGACUUGAGGGCUAUUUCUCAGUAUAACAGUACAUAUUUGUUACCUUUUAUCACUAUUUUAAUAACCCAUUCCUACUUAUUUUAGCCAUUAAAAUGGAGGACUUGCCAUAGGCCCAUAGCACAUGUUUAUAUGUUAUAAGUCAGGAUAUCUGUAUUGAAUAAAUGUACCAAAGGUUGUACUCCAUUUACCUUACUGGCUGUCUUGUAUCUCAAGGUGCUAAAUGUAAGAUACUGAAUGGUUAAUGUUCAUUUUCAGUGCCUCAUGAUCAUUACAUGCUGAAAUAUAUUUUUAAGUGGUUUUGAUUUUUGUAGAACUUAUUAUGUAUUUCCAUGCUAGAAUCCAACCAUUUUUACAACAUUUCUUUCAUUUGUAGCAUUUAAAGCUCUUGGAAAGCUGAUGUUGGAAGUUGGCUUGAUGUUGGCUCAUCAUUGUGAUCGCUAUGGUAUGUACUAUAUAAUUCUAUAGGCUUACCUGAUAUUUCCUUUAAAAAUGUCCAGGGACAAACCACAUCUGUUUGGCUAAGUAAAAAAUCUCCACAAUUUAACCUUUGGAUUGAUUAUAAUUGUCAACUCUGUACUUUGGUCUUUAAGUUUGGUAUUCCAUUGGUGAAUUGGACCAACUUCUGUUUGUUUGUCAGUAAUGCAGCAAGGAGUGGGACCAUAUGAUGGUGAAAGCCUUGAGCAGACAAUUGCCAGCUCAAGGUGUCACAAGGGCCGCCUUCUGUAUUACUACCCCCGGCAAUUUAGGUAAAUAUGAUGUAUACACAGUAUUUCUGACAAGAAAAAACAUGCAUGAAUUGCAUCUCUAGGCAGUGAUUCCUUUAUGACCUUCUUGUAUUUUGGAGUUAAUAAGACUUAGGAAUGGAUAAACAAGAUCAAUGUCACGCGAUUCCACUAAACAGCAAGAUGGUGCCUAUCAAGUAUUACACACCAUUGACACGCGAUAUCAUCGCGCAUAUUAUAAGGCAUUUUACAUGUGUUGUCCAUGUAGAUCAAAGCUUUCUAACUUUUCUUACCUUUGUAACAAUCAAUAUAUUUUUUUUGGAUUCAAGAUUUUUCAAUGUUCUAGCCUUUUAGUUGUAAGGAUUGAUGCUUGCAUGUCUCUUAUUUCAGUAAACAAGAGGAAGGUGGUUCUGUUUCAUCGUGGUGUGGAUGGCAUACUGACCAUGGAUCUUUAACAGGUAAUACAUGUUAUCCCUAUGGUUGAAUAUUAUCAGUUGCACGAUAACUCCUGAACAUGAAAGUUUGUUGUGGUCAAAUGAGCAUGUGGUGAAAUUCUGAACCCAUAACCUUACUGUAUUAUACAUAUAUUGAUAACCAUAAAUCUGAUCUCCGUUUUGUUUCCUACUACUAUCAUCUAUGAGGCUUUAGCGUUUAAAAAACGUUUGUUUUAAUUUAUAUAUUUUUUUCAAUUCUGAUUAUGCAUCCUACAUGCAGGACUUACAUGUGCCUUGUUUACGAAAAAUUCAAUGGAGAUCCCCUGUCCUGAUAGUGCUGCUGGAUUGUAUAUAAGGACUCGUGAUGAUAAAGUUGUUAAGGUAAUUUCCUGUUAAUCACUAUAGACUUAUCAUCAAGAUGAUGCUUUGUAAUUUAGGUUGUACGCAGUCAUCUCUACAUUGAAAUUGAUCGGUGCUUGCAGAUUUGGAAAUGUAGCCAGGCAUUUGAAACAAUGUUUAAUCAUUGUUAGUUGAAUAAUUGCCUGUGAAUUGCAUUAGCAUAUUAUACAGGAGAGGGUUAUGUGGUCUGCACUAAUUGAAAUUUUACUGCAUAAGGUUACAUUUGAGGAGAAUGAAUUGGCUUACCAAGUUGGAGAAACCACUGAAAUACUAUCAAGAGGUCGUCUAUGUGCAACUCCACACUGUGUGAAGGUAUUGUACUAUAAAUUUGUAGUCAUGGGUAAUCAGUGUUCCUAGUUCCUGCAGUUGUAAAGUAAUUUAUACUUUUACUGUUGUCUCUAGGCCCCCAGCAGUGAAAACGCCUCGAAUGUUGAUCGUUCGACCUUCGCGAUGUUCAUGCAACCAGAUUGGUAUGUGCAGUUUUCUUGACCAAAUUGUAGUGUUCACAUAUUCUCUCACAUGGAGAACUUUUGAGUUUCCUGCCCCUCAUCCUACUAGUGACUUGCCACUUGCCAAAGCUCCCAACCAAUUUCAACACAUAAUGUUAGCCCACAUGAAGAGUACUGGUUUUCCCUCAUCAUUAUGUGUUAUGUGGGUUUGUUCAUUUAUACGGUCAAUACUCAAUAAUCAAUAGUAAUAUGCUUGCCGUUACGAAUUCGGCACGUAGAUUUUCAAAGCCUAGGUCUGAUUAAUGUGGGUUUGCUGACAUUUUCUUUUUAUUGUGAAAUAUUUUGUAGGGAUGAAAAGCUCAAGUUUCCAAGUGAAAUUCCGUAUCAUCAAGAGGUUUGUUCCUAAUCAGAAACUUGCAUUCAGUGCUCCUGCGUGCCUUUUUCUGAUAUAGUAAUCUAUGUUUUAACUUCUGGCAGUUGAUCCCACCGAAUGGAACUCUUACAUUCGGGGAGUAUUCAGAAAGAUUGGUGAACAAGUAUUACCAGGGAAAGACAUGAAACACUACAAUACGCAUGCAAUUUUCAAUUGUUGUUUGUCCGUUUCGUACUAGCAGUGAAAUCGUCAGUGCAACCUGGACAAACUUAACUGUUAGGUUCUCUGCGUGUGUUUUGAACUGGAGAUUCGAGCAACCAAUCAUAGAAAAAAUGUGUCUACUGUAAUUGUUUUUUCCUUACGAUAAAAGCAACAACACCGGUGGCAGCGUCACCUUUUCUUGGUUCAGUUUCCACUACACUCAUCUUCACCAUACUUGAUUGAGUUUCCUCUGUAGUAUGGGGGUGCUUAGAUCUAUGAGUGUAAAGUUUUGGUGUCACAUCGGAUAAGUUUGGGUGUGUCACAUCGGAUAUACGGACACACAUUUAAUGUAUUAAACAUAGACUAAUAACAAAACAAAUUACAUAUUUCAUUUGCACACUGCGAGACAAAUUUACACACAAUGUCAUUAGCACCACGUUAUCAAAUCAUGGAGCAAUUAGGCUUAAAAGAUUCGUCUCGCAAUUUACACAAUGUAUACAAUUAGUUAUUUUUUUCAUUUAUAUUUAAUCCUCCAUGCUAUGUUAGAACUCUGAAAACUCGGAUAAACAUCUACAUGGACUAAAGACACAUACAAAUAAUACAAAUUAAACAAGCUGAAAAUAAAGGGAGCGAAAGAAUGGACUAGUAACAAAUUGAAGACGAUAUAUGUAAACGGAACGAAAGAAUGGGCUGUGACAAAAAUUAAACACGAUAUAUGAACUUGGUCGUAAUACAAAAAGUACAGCAGCCUGGUGUCUCCUAGAUCCUCAAGCACAAGGAACAAAAGCACAAACCAAAUGACACCUCACAGCUGCGUUGAUCUAUGAAUGACCUAGAACGGGGUAAAAUCAGCUAUAUAUGCCCCAAGAUAGGGGAGGAUCACCAACUGGGAGUAAAGGAGAAACAUGAGUAUGAUAAGUAGAUGAUCAGGACUAUUUGGACCAUGCAACCGCAUCAAUUUCUGCUUGAGCACUCCGAUAUAGCUCCAGCCUCUUCGCAAGAUUAGUCCUCCGUUCCAUGACGGCGGGGUCUUCAUCAAGAAGCUUAGAAAGUUGUUUAAUCUGCAUAACAUUUAAAAGGCAGUAUUACUAGUUAGAUCAAUUCUGUUGGACUUUAAAAGGCACACCAAAAAAAAUGUAAAACAGGGCCCAAAAACUUAUGUUAUGCUUUAUUAAGCUUUAAGAAAGAAGAACUCACCUCUCUUGCUCCCAAUUCAGUAAAGAAGUGAUCGAGCAGUGAGCGCUUUGCCUCCCGCACUUGACAGUAGACAAUAGAUUUCGGAAUAGAGUUCCUCAAGGUUGAACAUACCAUGUUAAUAUAUGCCAGAACCGUUGUUCCUGUUGAGUAUGAAUUGUAGCAAGGUUCAGCAGAAAAUACAGGUAAAAUAAGUUAAAAGGCAGCCAAGCAAAGCCUUGAUGGCAUGUAUAUUCAUCAUUAAACUAAAUUAGUGGGCAAUAUUACACAAGGUUGCAACAAUAUGAUAAACCACUUCUCAACUUCAACAAAUGGCCAUCAUUGCAAAGCAGUAACAGUAUACAUUGAAUAUAUACAAGGAAGAAUGGUUGAUGACUUACCAAUUCGUCUAAGAUAAGAAUCAUUAUAUCUAUCAAAAAUAGAGUGGCUUGGAUUUCCACCCUUCUCAACAUCCUGGGGAAGUUUCCUGAAGAAAUCUACGGUUAAGUAGCUGCAUUCCAUAUCAACAAGCUUUAAUGUGUUUUUCUUGCUUUCAUCCCUCAUUCUGUCCAAUGACUCAAAAGCCGCAUUGCCUACUUCCACACGAAGAGUGGGGAACUGCUUCAGCUCCUGCAGAGAACUCACUCACAUCUUUUAGGACGCUUACACAAUUACAAGUGGAGUAAUGACAAUUUGACAAGCAUGCAAAUUAAUUAUCAUGCUGCUUCUCAUCUUAAGUCGAGCAAAAAAGUUCCAGGUUCAGAUUUUAUUAGAAAGACAAAAUAUUGAAACAACAGAAGGCAAAAAUUUCAACAGUAUUAAUUGAUUACCUCCUAAACUCCUAGUACAAUCAGUAUACCUCAUGUACCAUCAGAAUGCACAUAUUCCCCAGUAUAAGUUACAGAAAACAUUGUGCAACAGUGCGAAGACUUACAUGUGUUUCAUUGAUGGCCUUGUGCACUAAUUCCUUGAGUAUCGCAUGGACCUGUCAGUACAACAAACAUACGAUAAUGUUGUAGUGCACAUUCUUCAACAAUAUAUGACACGAAAAGUUAGAAACGCUCAAGCUAUUUUGUUAAGACUAAAAAAUAGAUCAAAUUAAUAGAUAGCAUACCGCAUCCACAGCUGCCUCAGCAGGACCUCUGAUACUAACAAGACAAGACUCUAUGAGCCGUCGAUAUCCUUGCUCUGGAGCUAUUAAAUGAGGUUGGUAUCCAUCAGCCUCCGUUAUGAGCUUUUUCACAUUUUCCAUUGCCAGUUGUUUGUCAAACUGCAACCGUUUAAUGGCUACAGGAAACUGAUUGUCAAAGACAUGAUAGAUUUUCUCACCACCAGGACGCCUGGACAUUAGAAUUUUUGUGGGUAAGCAUCAGGGAAAGCAACAUUCAAUUCACAAAAGAACAAGCACACAAGGGAGAAUGAUGCUAAUUGCAUAUAACAAUCUACAAGUUAAAUUGUGUUAAAUUGCAUACUUCAGCAGCAAGAAAAUAUGCAAAUCUUUAUUAGCAAUAACUUUGUAAGUGCUAUCAUGUAAUUAGGUUUUAGGGUUAAAUUCGACGAUCCCUUUCUUCUGAAAGAAAAACAACUGGAGAUUCUAGGUGCAUGUACGCCCAAGCAAGCUUAUUGAAAUCUUUAUUACAUUUGAUAGAAAUUUAUUGUUUAAAAAUACAAGACAAAUUAACAGGUUACUUUGCCAAGAACCUAAAAUAGGCUGUAUGCUUACGUUGGAGUAAACACACAAGACUAACACCAAAGGAGAGCUUAUCAAAUUAGGGCCACACAAAUUUUAGAAGGCUUAUACAGAUCAGAGAGGGGAAAAUGUUAUUUUAGGAUAAAAUGUUAUUUUAUCUCGGAAUUCAGGAAGCACACACGUAGCUACAAUAAAACUUCUAAGAGAACAUUUAGCAACAGAAACAUUAAGUUUGAAACAUACACUCCAUCCAGAUGUUCUUUGUAGAUACCAUCAAACAUGCGGCAUAUUUCCAUGAUCGUGUACAGCUUUCCCUGCAUGGCCAAAUAUGUACAAACCAAUUAUGUCCAUUAGCACAAUGAUCAAGAACAUACACAAAAAAAAUGGGCACUACAUUAGCAAUUAGCAUAAAAAGGGGAUGCAGAAUUAGGCUCAAUAAACCAGUAUCUAAUUAAAGAAUAAAAAAGCCCUAAUCUUACUCCAGCAUCUGUAGCAAUGGGCUUCCCAAGUCGAUUAAGUUCUGUCUCCAGUUCGGCAAUUGUCUUUGUAAUGAGAGAUUGGAGCCCUGGGAUUCUUGACUUAAUAACAGUCUCCAAAUGCUACAUAUACACCAAAACAUUUAAGAGUCAAUAUACCAAACAGAGUUACAGGUAUUCUACAUUAGAAACGAAAUGAAAGGCAUACCUUCGAGAGACUCUUUGCUAAAUGUUCUGAUCCCAUCCUAUGAGCAAGGUGCUUGUAUUCUGGCGUAGUUGAAAAAUAUUCACGCUCUCUGCGCCUAGCAGCAAUCAUGUCCACAUUCUUGUUGAUAUCCUGCUGAGAUCGAUUGACGACACCAAUCCAUUGUUGUUGGAGCCGGUAUGAUCUGCCUUCCAAUAUCUGCAGAAAAGAACCGUAAGAAAAUACAGCUCAAAGAACAAACAUAACCUUCAUUUUCUACAACUGUAUAUCUUCCAACAGAUAGAACAGAAGAAUAUUCAACAUAGGAGAUUUAAAAGGUCCCAAAAGCAAGGGAACAAUAAUCCAUGUUGACAUCUCCGGGGACAAAAUGUAUCGAUAAUAAAGUUUUUAGCAAUUAAUUUUAGCUGGGAAAAAACUUACAUCAACAGCAUCGGUGCCCUUGUCCAUUAGAUCAAUUUUUGUAAGCACACCAAACGUCCUUUCACCUGAACAUUACAAGACAAACCACAUCUCAAAAAACAUGAUUGCCAUCCUUUAUCCAAAUGGCUUACAACAAAGGCAUACCUUUGGGGUCAACUUCCCGUGAAAUCUUAAUUGCAUCAGAAGUUGCAAGAUCCUGAUUGGCUGGAGAAACAGCCAGAAUGAUACAAUUGGGCUGAAACAAACCAAAAAGGGUCGAUAUACAUAUAAGCUUUUGCAACAUUACAGACAUGAUACAUGACAAGAUAAGCAUAGCUCACACACUACAAGCAUAAUGCAUGAUACAAAAAACAUAUUCCAAAUAUGCUAACACAUGGCUGAAAUCAUAAGAAUGUCGAAACAAAUAUGCAUAGAAUAAAUUACUGUAUAUGUGCAUACAAAGCUAUGGUACCGAAAUAAGGCAAGCAUAGUCAGCAAUGGCAGUGGACAAAUAUUAAAAGGUUACAGCAAAAAAUAUACCUUUUCUAUGAACGAGCGAACCAUGUUUUCAAUGUCCUGAACAAUACUGUCAGGCUGACCCUCUGGAAAGCAUAUAGCAAGUGGUAAAUCAGGAAAUGGACCUCUUUAAAAAGAACAAACAAAAGAAAAUAGCUCACAAAUGACAAUGGGUAAUACUGACCAACAGCAACUUUAGUAAGCCCAGGAAGAUCGAUAAGAGUCAGGUUCACAACUGCAAAAGAGUGGGAGUUAAGACGCUAACAAAAAUAGAUACUAGAAACCAGAUAAAUCAUAAACAGGCAUGCACAUAUAAAGACAAAUAAGGUAUGGUCAUCUUAUCAAUGACAGAGAUCUCACUAAGUAAGCAACAGACAAAAGGAACAGCUUUUAAGCCACAUAUCCAUCUCAGCAAACAAUAAUCAAAAUGAACCAAUUUGACUGUGAUAAAGCAACUACAUCGAACUGACAUUUUAUAUUAUUGUUAUCUUACCAUUUGGAGAAUAUAUGCUUAAAUGAAUAGGGACCGAUGAUAUUUGCUUUGAACGACCAGUUUCUCUGUCAGUUUCAUCAGCUAUCUCCUUCCUCACAAGAGCUGCAAGAAUACGACUAUCAUCAUUAACCAUCAUGCAGUUGAAUAUAUGUUUAGCACUUGAAAGACUGUUUCCACCAACAAUUACAGGUGUAAUCAUAUAUGUUUGACUAUCAUCCAACAUUGGCAAUCUAGUUCAGUUUGAAUAUAUGAUCUCCAUAAACAUGCAAUCUCGCAAUUUUAAUCACAGAAUGAUAUGACCAAAAAUGAAGGAAAAGGUAGAUGGAGUACCGAAAUCAGUGAAUCUCUUCCUGGGAAGGUGCAUGAACUCUGCAUAUUCUCUGUCUCCGUCGAUCCUAUGAAGCUGCAGCACCAAGGGACGACGGGUGACAAUGCCUGGAAACCAAAUCCAAAAAUUCCAAAUCAGAUAAAACAGGAGCAAUAACACUGAAUUAUACAAGCACUUGCUAUUGGAACCGCCAUACCUGAGCCUCUUGGUAGGAAAUCCUUCCCAACAACGCUCUCCAGCACCGAGGAUUUACCCGAACUCUAUCAAACGUAUCAGGAAAGUUCAAACGUCAGGUUACCGAAGUACACCCAUUCUGGUACAGAAAUAAGCUUAAACCAUUUCUAACAGGCGCAACUCCGCACAAAAUUCCAUCGAGCUGGAUGGUUCCAUCAACUAGUUUAGUAGCUUCAGUUGCUACAAAACCUAUCGAUUUCAUGUAAGCGUCCAAAUCUAGUCUUCGGCGAGCACAGCAAUCGUAGAUCCAAUCGUAGCUAGACCGCAUCGGCUACUAAUCCUUUCUGCCCUACCAGCAACUCGCGAGAUCCAGAUCGACGCAGCUGAGGCGCGAGGGGCCAGAUCCGAGCGAGAUAAAAACGGGUAGGGGGGAAACGACGGGAACCUGGCCUCCGACGACGGCGAUGGCCGGCAGCGAGUCCCAGAGGGUGGGGAGGGCGCUCUCCUCGCCGUGGUCGCCGAGGGCGGUGCAGGCCCGCUGCAGCUUGUUGACGAGCGAGAUCAGGUUCUCCAUGGCCGCUGCUGCUGCGGCGGCGGCGGCGGCUCAGCGAGAUCUGGGCGAGAUCGCGCGCGUGGGGGGAGGGGCGAGAUCGAGGUCGGUGGAGAGGAGGGGGGGAGAUGAGGGUUGGCGAUGCCGACUGCCGAGCCGCGUCGGGGUCGAGAGCUGCGCGGCCUCGGGCUGUGUAUGGUGGUGCGCCGCGACGGUUUGGUGAUUUGGACUUUGGAAAAAGGCUUCGUGGGGAAGAAACGGGCUGGAUUUUUCACAUUUUGAUCCUUUUAAAAAACUUAUUUCGCAAAUAGACCCCUUAAAAAACUUAUCCCAGAAAUGGUCCUUUUUUGGGCGCCAGAGUGGCUGGCGCCGUCAUCCAACGGAACGGCGCCAGCCUCUCUGGCGCCGUCCUCCUGCCACCGUGGCGCACGCGAACCGACGUGGCAGGAUGAGGGCGCCAGGCUGGUGCCGCCCCAGGGAGGAGGGCGCCAGCAUGGCUGGCGCCGCCGCCUCCAUUCCUGUUUCUCUGUAUAGAGUUGCAACGGUGUCAUUUUUAUUUUAUUUUUUCGGAUGUUUUUUCACACUCAGGAUCACGAUACAACCAACCACAAAAAAAAUUUAAACUCGAACUACCACUUAGCUAAGUCUGAAAAUAUCUAGCAUACCACUUAGUCUACUUUGCACCUUCACUAAAAUUAGACCAUAACUCCUUUAGUAAAACCCUUUGAUCAGCAUGUUAAACAUAAUGCACUCUACCACUAUAUGAAAUUACUUAAUCUAAUUCAAAAUAUAACCACAUGAAAUGACAUAUAUAAAUUAAACAGUACAUAGAGAUGUAAUUUUUUUAUUUUUAUUUCAUUUUUUUGAUAUUUUUUUCACACUUAGGAGAACAUAGGAACCAACCGUAUAAAAAAUAAACUCAAACGGACAAAAUAUGUGACAUGUAGAAUUUUCCAAAACUCUACCGAAACGGACAAAAUAUGCCAUCUAUUAAAAUAGGCAUAACUUUCUCAUACGGACUCGGAAUCAGGCAAAUAAUAUAUGCACGGACAUCUACAGAAAAAGUUACAUCCGAUUCUCUCCCGCUUUGCCGGGUUCGGCGAUAUUAAAACCUCCAAAUUCCGCUUGCAAGAUUGUGUUUUCGAGGAGAGAAGUUUUUCGGUGGAGCUUUGGAAAAUUCCACAUGCCACAUAUUUCGUCCGUUUGAGUUUAUUUUUUACGUGGUUGGUUCCUGUGAGUUCCUAAGUGUGAAAAAAAUAUCAAAAAAAUAAAAUAAAAAUAAAAAAGUUGCACAUCUCUCCUCUGCACUAGUUCGGAGAGAGGAAAGGAGAGGAAAAAUUCUACAUGUCACAUAUUACGUCCAUUUGAGUUCAAUUUUUGUAUGGUUGGUUCAUGUGUGUCCCUAAGCGUGAAAAAAAUAUCAAACAAAUAAAACAAAAAUAAAAAAUUUCGGGGGGGGGGGCGCCAGCCACUCUGGCGCACUCCCCCUAGCCACCUCAGCAUCGCCCCGCCACGUCGGCGGUGGGACGGCGCCAAAGAGGCUGGCGCCGUCCUGUUAAACGACGGCGCCAGCCACUCUGGCGCCCCAAAAAGGACCAUUUUUGGGAUAAGUUUUUCUAGGGAUCUACUUGCGAAAUAAGUUUUUUAAAAGGACCAAAAUGUGAAAAAUCCAGAAGAAACGGGCCAGUUUGAGCGUGUGGAAGAUGGAGGGCCAGUUUGGUAAUUUCGAAUGAUCCUUUUUGUAUCUUACACUUCUUACACCCGGGCCCUUGCUUGGUGUAGUGUAAUGUCCUAAAAUUUGAACUUGAAAUACAUGCGCGCUACCUGCAUCAGUUUUUAGUAAAAUUUAUCCAAAUACCAUCGGUUAUCAAGCGAUAAGUGAUUAUCCAUGAUACCGCUAUAGAACCGGUCAACAAUUUUUAAUGAUAAUCAUGUCUUUAUAUCUUACACUCCAUUGCUUGCUUUUUAUAAUAACUUAUAAGCCGUUGUAAAAAAAUAAAUUCAAAAACUUAAUUUUGAAAUUAAUUUUAGGUUUUUAUUAUAAUUUAUUGUCCAGUAAUUUUAAAAAAUCAUGUUAAAAACAGAUAUAUAAAGAUUUUAUCUGUUGAUCGCUGCAAACGAAACGAUCAUGCUUCUCGUAAUAACCAAAAACCAAAGGGGGUAACUGCGUAAUCACAGGUUUCACCAUGGGUUUGAUUUCGAAUUGGUAGCUGCACAGGAUGGCAAAGCGCAGCAUAGCACCAGAACUAACGGGCAGGGACCAGACGUCCAGACCAUCCGGCGAACGACGAGCUAGCUACCGUAGUCGGUGGGCUCUCCUCUCACGGCGGCACAAAUAUUUCGCUCGUGUUUUGGGGGGCAAAAGGACAUUUGGCUGUUUUGCAACCCCAUAUUACCAACUCAUCUUCCUCGUUUUCCUCGCGCACGUUUUUUAAACUACUAAACGGUGUGUUUUUUACAAAAAUUUUCUAUACGAAAGUUACUUAAAAAAUCAAAUUAAUCCUUUUUUUAAAAAAAAUAGCUAAUACUUAAUUAAUUACUCCCUCCGUCCCAAAAAAAGACAAACCCUGGUUUCCGUGCCCAAUAUUUGACCAUCCGUCUUAUUUGAAAAAAAUAUGGAAAAAAUUAAAAAGAUAAGUCACGCAUAAAAUAUUAAUCAUGUUUUAUCAUCUAACAAUAAUGAAAAUAUUAAUUAUAAAAAAAUUUCAUAUAAGACGGACAGUCAAACGUUGGCACGGGAACUCACGGUUUGCCUUUUUUCGGGACGUAGGGAGUAUGUGUUAAAAGACCGCUCCGGUGCAGAAGGGCCCAUCCUACACUUGCGAUAAGGGCAAGUACUAUAAGGUUCUAAGCACAAACUCCAAAGUGACAUGUAUGCUUAAAUAAUGAUGUGGAGGAGAGAAAAGAAGAGAAAGGGGAGGAGCCACCCCUCAUGUAAGAGCAGGUACAAUAGCAGGUUAUAAACCGGCUGUAACCAUAUAUCGAGAAGAAAAGAGAAGAGAGAGAAGAAAGCGGGCUACAGAUUUGUAGCCGGCUGCAACACGGACUCCAAAAUGUUAUAUGUGUAUGAGAGGUGGGACCGUGUAUUAAUGAUGUAGUAUAUUUUUAUAGUUAACUAUUGUAUGAAUGAGCUAUUAGAUUAGCUAUAGAUGUUUUAGAGCCAGUAGUUGCUAUACUAUUGACCUUGCUCUAAGAGCAAGUUUAAUAGUAUAGCUGGCUACCGGCUCCAAAAGUUCCAUGUCAACAAAAAAUAAUGGAAAGAGAUUAGCUUGUAAAACAAGUAGCUACAUUAGCACAUUCCUCUAAAAGAUUAUUUUAUAAUCUUCUAAUCUGAUCAGCUCUUGCGAUUGGCAGGGCAGCCAUGCAUGCAUGGAACUAUGUGCUGGAGCUCGCGACUAAUUAAGCGCCAGCUUUUCUCUCUCCUUCCGUUCUCUCUGCUCCACCUUAGCCAAAAACUAAAUUGUUUAUUCCUAUCGUCGGCUGACAUAAGCCUAUUGAACCUGCUCUAAGGGACAACCUUCACACAAAUUUCAAUAAAGAAGAGAAAAUAAGAUGGCUGAUUGGUGGCAAGUGUAUUGGGACUAGUGUAUUAAAUACAAUGCAUCUACAUAAGUUAAUUUUAAUUUUUGGAUAGAUGAUGUGGAUAAAAUUGGAGGUGACCACCACAUCUAUUAUAAAACUUGCCCUAGCAUCCAUUGUGGCUAGUGGAGCCACUGGAGCGCCUGUAGUUCCCCAAGGGCGAGAGGAGGACCCACCGGGCGAUCUGGACCGUCCGUCUGCCGGACUGACUACCGGGGCCGCGGGUGGGCGGUCACCUCGCCGUCGACGCUCUGUGGGGCCCGCGCGGCGCACCUCGCGUUUCAAAUUUGAAACCCGGCCUCGUUCGUUCUAGCCGUUUGGUGCUACAGCUACAGCGUAGUUGUACCAGUGCUCCGCUUCGUUACUCCGGUCACGUGCCACGUGAGAUGCACGGUGCAAAAUGGUGAGAUUUGGCCGAAGCAUUUAUCCACCUUGGAGCGGGAUUGCACGUUGCUACGCUCCUCUGAUCCUCUGUGCCAGUAGGCGGCAGUCGCUCUACGUCGUCGCGGUUUCACUUGUAGAGUGCUGUACAGCAGAGUACAGGCAAAUUCGGCCUGGUUGGAUCAGUUCAGCGGCCCAUGAGCACUGCCCCAGACUUAGCCCAACUAAGGGACAGGCCGUCUUCCGUUCCGGGAAAGGAAUAAGUUCAGCGGAGAUCCAUCAACUUAACAGCGAGAUUUUUCAAGGUCCCUAAACAACAAAACCAUAAAUGUGUACCCUAAACUCACACAAACCGUUCAAAAGAGGUCUCAUGGCAGUAUAUGUGGAUGGUUUCGCUGACGUGGCAUCCUAGUCAGCAAAAAAAAAAAUAAAAAGUAUGUAGGGCCCACAUGUCAGUUACACAUCGUCCUCUUCUCUUCUCUUUCUUUUCUUCUCCUCAUCUUCUCUUUCUCUUCUUCUUCACUAAGUGAGUACGAUGGGCGAUGGGCGGGCGGCGGGUCCACGCACCAGCGAAGCGGCGGCGGGCGCGGCCUGUGGGCAGAAUGGAGGCGGGCGGAACAGCGACGGGCGGAGCGGCGCUGGGAUGCGGGCAGAGCGGCGAUGGGCGGUGGUGAGAGAGCGGAAGGCAAGCGCAACGGACGGCGGGGGAGCAUGGUGGCGGGCAAGUGGACGAGCACGGCAGGCGGAGGGGGGCCGUAACAGCGGAGGUGGCUGAAGAAGGAGCGUGGCGGCGGUGGGCGAGCUCCGCCGCCCUACUCUGCCAGCCGUGUCGGCGGAGGCGGCGAGAGCGGCGCGCGGAGCGGACAGAGCGAACGAGCACGUCGUUCUCGCCGCUAGUUCCCCUCGCCAAGUACACCCUCUCUCGCGUCCCUGUCCUCAUCCUCGCGCUCUCCGUCUCCGACCCCAACGUCCCGCUCGGCCCCGUCGUCGAUGAGUCCUACACGCUUUCUGUGCUCCUGGACUCCGGAUCGGCCGAUAUCUCCGCCACCACGCCAUGGGGCAUGGGGCGCCAUCCGCUCUGCCCGCCGCCCGCCCAUCGCCGCUUUGUCCGCCGACCGCGCUCACUUGUCGCCGUCGUCCGCCGCUCAGCUGCCGCGCAGACCCGUUGUCUUUCUCGCCCACCGCCCGCCCAUCGCGCUCACUCAGUGAAGAAGAAGGGAAAGAGAAGAGGAGGAGAAGAAAAUAAAGAGGAGAAGAGGACGAUGUGUAAUUGACAUGUGGGCCCCACGUACUUUUUUAUAAAAAAUUUGCUGACUAGGAUGUCAUGUCAGCGAAACUACCCACAUAUACUGCCAUGGGACAUCCUUUGAAUGUUUUGUGUGAGUUUAGGGGUAUACGUUUAUGGUUUUGUAGUUUAGGGAUCUCAACAAAUCUCGCUGUUAAGUUGAGGGACCUCUGGUGAACUUAUUCUUUCCGGGAAAAGAGAACAGUUUUGGGUCAGCAUUAGGCCCGAUGUACACGACUGGGCCUCGUUUAACAACUACUAGUACGUAUUUAGGCCCAAGGGUCUGGAAGUUUGAAAGCCCAUUUUCUCGUCAAGAAUCGCUCUCUCAAUCAACGAAGACGAUGACUGGACGGGGAGAAAAAAGAAACAAACACAACCAUGUCGAAUCGAAUCGAAUCAAAUCAAAUCAAAACCUGCUUUUUUUAUAUAGAGAUAUCAAAUAGAAUUUUCUUUUUGCCAAGUCAAAUAAUGCCUUCUUUGACAGUUAAUCGGUCACACAUUCACCCCAUUUAGAGCAAGUAUAAUAGGAGGAUGCAAGCCGACUAAAUAGUGAGGUAAAGGAGAAAAGAGAGGAGAGAGGGGAGAAGCGGGCUAUAAACUUACAGCCGGCUUGAACACAAGAACCAAAAAACUUUGUGAGAGAUAAGUGGACCCAGUAUUAAUUGUAAAGAGCUAACUAUUAUAUAGGUAGACUGUGAGAAUGCUACAAAACCUUAAAGCCAAUAAGUCGGCCGUAUUAUUAGCCUAGCUCUUAGAGCAAGUUUAAUAUUAUAGCCAACUACUAGCUCUAAGUCAUCUAUAGUCAAUUCAUACAAUAGUUACAUACUACACUAUUAAUAUCCGGUCCCACCUGUCAUACACACUUGUCUGGGAGUCCGUGCUAUAGCUGGCUACAAAUCUGUAACCCGCUGCUAUUCUCUCUCCUCUUUUAUCUACUUUAGAUAUGUUUAUAGCUAGCUUAUAGAUUGUUAUUGUAUCUGCUCUUAAUUUAGAACAAGUUUAAUAGUACAGCCCACUACUAGCUUCAAUUAAUCUAAAGCCAAUUCAUAUAAUAGUUGCUUACUAUACUAUUAAUAUAUGGUCCUACCUGUCAUACACACAUUGCGUCUUGAAGUCCGUGCUGCAGCUGGCUACAGAUUGUAGCCCGCUGCUCUUCUCUCUCAUAUUUUAUCUUAUUAAAAUAUAUUUAUAGCUAACUAAUAGUCUGCUAUUAUACCUACCAUUAGGCUCCGUUCGUUACCUCCCUUUCCCAACCUCACUCCCUUAUUUUUCACGCACAUGUUUUUUUAAACUGCUAAACGGUACGUUUUUUGCACAAAAAAAAUAUACGAAAGUUGCUUAAAAUAUCAUAUUAAUCCAUUUUUUUAAAAAAAUUAGUAAAUACUUAAUAAAUCAUACAAUAAUACUUCUAGGUGCUUUGUUUUGCCGGGAGGCCCCCUCCCGAACACAGCCCUGUAGGCUGUAGUACAGUGGAGUCGUGGAGCAGUACUACUAAUCCCUCCGUCCUAAAAUAAAUGUAAUUUUAGUAUUAUUUAUGUUCAACGUUUGACCGUUCGUCUUAUUUGAAAAAAAGAUUAUGAUUAGUAUUUUUAUUGUUAUUAGAUGAUAAAACAUGAAUACUAUUUUAUGUGUGACUAAUUUUUUUAAUAUUUUUUAUAAAUUUUUUAAAUAAGACGGAUGGUCAAAACGCUAAACACGGAUAUUUAUGGUUGUAAUUAUUUUUGGACGGAGGUAGUACUCCGUAGUCCCUACAUGUGACUCCGUGAGUCGUAACUCCUCCGGGUUCCGUGACCAAUUAGGACGGCGACUAGCCGAAACGCCGAGCCCAACCAACCAAUCAAGAACGACGACUACCCGAAACGCCGAGCCCAGCCAACUAACCUCCACUGUCCAGAGUCCGAACCCCAAAGGCAGGCAGGCACGGUCGGGUAGUUCGCGCCACGUCGCUUCGCGUCGCCUAUAUAGAAUAGCAAAGCGACGACGCAGCAAAUCGCGAACCCGCACGCAACCCCCGGUCCCGGUCCUCCCCCGGCCGGACGCCGGAGUCCGCAAGGCAAGCCCCCAAACGCCGCCGUCGCUGUCCCCACCGUCAAGCCGCCCCCGACCGCGUCCACAUUCCACACUUGCCACCGCCCGUACAAGCGCCGAUGGAUCCUCGCUCGACGGCCGAUCCUGCCAGCUCGAGUACUUCCACCCACUCCACCACCACCACCUCCCCUACCCCUACCCCCUCCCCCUCCUCGCUGCGGAAGCGGGUGCUCUCGAUAGACACGUCGUCGCGUGACUCGCGUGGCUCGCCCGGCAGGGAGAGGGAGAGCAAGGCGCGGCAGGAGGAGGAGGAGGAGGAGAGCGUGAUGGCAUCGGCGGCGGCGUCGGAGGCGGAGAGGGAGAGGGACGUGGAGGCCGCGGUGCCGGUGCCGAUGAGCCCGGCGGGGCGGCUGUUCCGGGAGACCAACUUCAACUGCUACAUCGUGGCGGUGAUCGGGCUCGGCGCCCGGGUGGACGUCGCGGCGGCGCGCGCCGGGCUGGAGGCCACCCUCGUCCGCCACCCCCGCUUCUGCAGCGUCCAGGUAACUAAACCCACCGCUCCAUGAUCCCUUUGCAUCGAUUUCUCAUCUCGUCCUCGAUCGCCAACUUGCACCCAAAAAAAUGCGCUCGUUUGGUGGCAAAAUUAAAUUUGCUGAAGCAUCCCGCAUCUCGGGCGCACAUGGAGUUGAGACCGCCGGUGUCGACGCUGACACGCGCACGUUGUUCCUACUUGAAAAAAAAAUUCUGGGGCCGCGUGGAAGCAUUGAUUUCUGCUUCAUUUUUCCGGUGGAUGGACGCUCCUGGCGCCUCGCCGGCUCACUUUCUUGCGGUUGUCUGGGCUAGAAUGGCUGCUUCCGAGGAUACGCACGGCGGCCGUGACUCCGGCCAAAAACAAGCUGGGACAAAAGUAGGAAGUGGCUGUGCUGUGUGUACAAUGCUCUUGCUAGCUUUCUCGAAGUCAUCUGAUGCUUGAACCGACCAAUCCAUUGGCUCAGCGAGCAUUAAUCCCGGCGAGAGAUAGUGCGCGAAGCCACGAAUCAGUGUGAAUCACCAUCACCUUUACUCCCCGUCAAAUCUCUUUUGUGUUAGUUAACCGGGCUGUUAUUGCCUGAUUUAUGGUUUGGAUCGCGAAGUAGCUGGUUUGAUACUGCACCCAUGCCCUCCUAUUAAUGCGGUGGCAGAUACAGAGCAGCCGUCCUAGACUAUCGCUACUCAUCAGCUACUGUGUUUAUGACCGGGAGCAGCCGUUUGGCAUGAAAAUGUGGAGAGAAUCAUCCGAGAAGCUGGCUUUCAUCGCGAUGGAUCGUCCACGUUUUCCAGCUGAAAGCAGAUACCGGACAUGUGGAUCAUAAUUCCGCGACGUGCGGGAUUUGAAGCAAAUCAACGUCAGAAUUAAGUACCGUCAGUCCGUCACUGUACGCACGGGGACGGCUCGCUUUUCUUCGUUAACCCCGUGUAUGGAUUGCGAGCCAGGUGAAACAAACAUCUGUAGUGUGUUGGCUAGAGGCCUCCAGAUCGUAUUGCAAAUCGUUAACUGCCAGUGGUAAGUAGUUAGGUUUCACCGAACCAUGUUAGGUGGGAUUACCGUCACCCCGUAAUUUAAUGGUUAUCAUUGUAAUCAUAUAGCUACCGCGAAAACCGUACAAUUACCACGAAAUAUACCAUGUUUUGAAAAAAACUAUAAGGAUUACCAUAUGUAAUAAUCAUGAUAAUGAUACGAUUUUGUAAACCCCACUACUACGUGAUCAAUUGCUUUCGAAUAAAUCCUUUGGAACAGCGUUGCUAUGCCUAGUUGCAUAGUACGUGUUCGUAGUGUUUUCUCUCUUUUUUAAAAAAAAGGCAAACGCUUUGCCAUUUUUAAAUUAGCUUUCAUAGUGUAACACUGUCGGUAAUGCUUGAUCCAUUGUAUCCAUCGUCUUUUUUCUGAACCUGUCGCAUUCAGCGUACAGUUAAAAAAAAAACACUUUAAGAAGUGCAUUUCUGCAGGUGUCGGAUGAGGCGAGCAAGCGGGCGAAGCCACGGUGGGUCCGGACGACAGUGAACCUGGACGACCACCUCAUCUUCCCCGAGCUGGACCCCACCGCCACGUCAGCCAGCCCCGACCAGGUCAUCGAGGACUACAUGUCCACGCUGUCCACGCAGCCGAUGGACCACUCCCGCCCGCUCUGGGAGCUCCACGUCCUCGACUUCCCGACCUCCGAGGCGGCCGCCACCGUCGCCGUCAGGAUGCACCACUCCCUCGGCGACGGCAUCUCGCUGCUGUCCCUCCUCAUCGCGUGCACGCGCAGCGCCGCCGACCCGGCGAGGCUGCCGGCGCUGCCGCCGGCGCCGGCGCGGCGGGACGGGCCAGUGUACGCACGCCGGCGACCGCCGCUCUCGGCGGGGAUCGUGGCGCUCGCCGCGUGGGCCUGGUCCUACCUCGUGCUCGCCUUGCACACGCUCGUCGACGUCGCCUGCUUCGUCGCGACGUCGCUGUUCCUCCGCGACGCGCGCACGCCGCUCAUGGGGACGGAGGGCGUCGAGUUCCGGCGCAAGCGGUUCGUCCACUGCACGCUCAGCCUCGACGACGUCAAGCUCGUCAAGAAUGCCAUGAAGUGUGUAAGACCAUCUUCUCCCUAUUCUUGGGUUCUUAGUUCUUGCUGAACUGCAUAUGUCAGCUUAACUCUGAAACAUCAUACGAAAUGUCAUUCCUCCUGGUGUUUUUUCAGACUGUGAAUGAUGUGUUAGUUGGAGUGACUUCUGCAGCAUUGUCGCGCUAUUACUUCCGCAAAGAAAGUGAGUGAUCUUCCUCCAAAGUUAUCAUGGGCUAAUCGUACGUAGUAUAUAUACUGCUAGCUGCAUCUGAAGUCAUGUUUUCUGAACUUAUUCAGAUGAUACGAACAGCGAGAAGCGUACGCGACGAAAGCACAUCCGUGUGCGGUCUGCUCUUCUUGUUAACAUCAGGAAAACACCUGGCUUACAUGUAAGAAAAGGAUUCAUUAUGAUCUGUCCACUCUUAUUAUAAUUUUCAUGAAUGGGUAUUUCAGUUCCUUUUAGCAGUCAAGUCAUGAUAGUUACUGAACUUUUGGAUAUUUUGUUUCUGCUUUGAGCAGGUAUUGGCAGAAAUGAUGAAUUCCAACAAGAACAAUGUUGCGAGAUGGGGAAAUCUAAUUGGUUACAUCGUACUUCCUUUCCGUAUAGCCAUGUUCCACGAUCCUCUUGAAUAUAUUCGUCAGGGGAAAAGAACAGUUGACAGGAAGAAGAGCUCGUUGGAAGCAAUCUUCACUUAUUGGAGCGGCAACCUAAUAGUCAAACUUUUUGGCAUUAAGGUAUUGAUUCUCUACGUUAUGUUUUGCUGGGAUAAUUAGUAGAGCAGUUCUAUUAUCUGAAUUUUGUCGAUCAUUAACCGGAGAUGCUAACUGAGGCCACUUGUCUUUAGUUAAUUAAUCUGUUUAUUCAUUGGUGUAAUGUACAUGGCAACUUCUGUAGACUGCAGCUGCUCUCUGCCAUGGCAUGCUCGCUAAUACCACUCUGUCAUUCUCGAGCAUGGUCGGACCUGCAGAGAAGGUGGAGUUCUACGGGCAUCCUAUCGAGUACAUUGCCCCAAGUGUAUAUGGGCAUCCACAUGUAAGUAACCACUUGUUUUUUUUUUAAUGAGAAAAUAAGUUCAUUUGUAAAGGUUGCACGUCAGCUUUCACACGUCAUUGAUAUAUUAUCACCUGCUUUGCUUGAAACAUAGAUAAUUGUUCAGAAGUCACCGUUUUUAAUUAAUUUGGUGAUGACAUGUAGCGAUUAAGUUUCAGGCAUAAAGUGAAACAUUUCCAAUGAUAAUUCUCCAGUUGUGAUUGCAAGCCUUUUUUGUCAAAGAGACAUGACUCAUGAGUGCUUCGACUUUUACAUAGGCACACCUGAAAGCACCCAAUCAUUUCAUUUGAAUAUGUGCAGGCACUGACAGUACAUUACCAGAGCUACAUGAACAUUAUCAAGCUUGUCCUCGCCGUCGAUGAUGCACAGUUCCCGGAUGCUCACCAGCUGCUGGAUGAUUUCGCUGAGUCCCUCAGGCUUAUCCGGCAGGCAGCUUCAACAAAAUCAUAGAAGCAGCUAGACUGUUUUUUCUCUCACUUUUUGAGAUUGGUAGUAAGCACAAAGAAUCACAGUGCACCCUCCAAUCAGUAAAAACUUAGUUGUACCACAAUUUUCAGCAUUCAAUAUUCUUGUCACAAUAAAAUGGCCCCAUCUGGACUGCCUAAUUUUGACACCAUCUACUGACAUGUCGGUCCUUCAGAUUUCCUUUUCCCUGAAAGGACCGUCCGGCUUGUCCUGUUAACGGUUACGGCUCUGCAAAUCCUGGAAUUCUGCAUCUCCUAACAGAAGCAACCCGAAUCUCACAGCACGUACACAGAUUCACCACACCUCCCUCCCACAUAGAAACUCUCUUACGAAUAUGCUACAAUCCAUGUCACGUGUUCACGGCGCAGCAGUAGCAAACGGAUCAGAACCUCUUGCUUCAAAAUCACAUGACUUUAUUCUUGAUAGGGAAAACUAUUUUAAACUCUUAAAAGGAUGUUCACUUAUUAUUUACAUAUCAUUCAAAUGGUUAUAAUUUUUUUUUAAAAAAAUGAGUAGAUAUAUUAAUAUGUGAUAUAUCACUACACAAAUACUACCUCCGUCCCAGUAUAUUUGAUGUUUAACUUCCUAUCCAUUGUCCCACAAUGCUUGAUGUUUUAGCAAGGAGCAUAAACGUGGGGCCGUGCAACAGCGUACGAUUCAAAAUUUACUAAUCGGGUUUCCAGGAACAGCAGCUCAUCCAUGAUUCCACCGUGGCAGGAACUGCAGGUGUAUUCUUGGUUUGAAAUGACUACUCAUCAUGGUUAUUCAAAGUAGCUAGUAUUCCAGCUAGGACUAUAUGGUAAUUUUCACCAGAGCUUAAUUUGGUAUGUGUGUGUAUAUAUAUAUAUAUAUAUAUAUAUAUAUAUAUAUAUAUAUAUAUAUAUAUAUAUAUAUAUAUAUAUAUAUAUAUAUAUAUAUUCGACUUCUAUAUUUCGCAACGAAAAAACAAAUUAAACUACAACCAUCUAAUGUGUAUUCAUAAUUAAAUUUGUUUUUCCGGUUGUGAUAUGUAGAAGUUAAAUUUUAUUUUGCAUGUUUGUGAAGUGGCAUGUUAAUAAUACAUUUUCUCAAAUUAUUCUAUAACUAUUUGAUUUUAAAAUCCACUAUCUUCAUGAUAGGUCCUGGACUCACAAGUUAUUGAGAACGGCACGGUUUUUUCAACAGUAGAGGAUCUCGCUCCGUAGCAAACCGUACGCGACGAAUACGUGGGGUCGUGGGCCGCUUUUGCCCGUUUUGCACUCCAAGCUCCCCACACCGUGCGAGCGUCGGUCCGUUCGCUCGCUCGCUCGCUCGCCUCCAGAUCUGGAGGCGAUCCAUCCAUCCAUCCACCGAGACGGCGCGGGGCGCGCGCGCAAGGAGAGGGACACCCAAACCGGCACCACCAACAACCACACACCUCCUCCGCUAGCUGCACCAAUCAUAGGCGCGCAGAGGCCACGGGGCCCCAGCCGCAGCGACACGCCACCAGCAAAAUCUCCUCUACUAGCUCAUCCAAAGCGCCACCAACUGAUGACUGCAACCUCUCAUCAACCGGCUCUCUCCUCCUCCUAAACCGGGCAGCUUCUCUCUCUCGCGUUGCUGCCGCGCGCGGGGCACACAGCUAAGCUAGUGUCGCCAUUGCCAUUGUCUUGGAAGGAGGUUGGUUAGCAUGGCUCGCGUGUCGGCGGCGGCGGUUGCCGUGCUGGUGGUGGCGUUCGCGGCGGCGGCGGCGGCGCAGGAGAGCUGCAACACCGAGCUGCCGGGCGUGCUCGUCGGCAACUACUCCGGCCUGAAUUGCCAGCCGGUCUGGAACAAUUUCGUGCUCCGGGUAAGUGGUUUCUCCCACCGCCAUUGUUCUUACCUGUUCUUCUCAGCACAUAAUUGAGGUUGUGUAGCGCUGUUCGAGCAUAGCUAGCUCUAAGUUCAGUACUCUGCGUGUGCUUGCAAUGAGCUGAGAUCUGCAAGGAUUUCAGGUGGAUCUAGUUUGUACCUAACCUGCUAGGACAUUGCCAACUGCCCAACUGAAAUUGAUGUAUGAUUCGCUAGUGCAGCAGUAAGCCAGUAACUUUUCAGUGACAGUAAAACAGUGAAUUCGAGCAAACCAAACCACACAAUUGCCAAGAAAAAUCCUGAAGUGUUACAGUUAGUUUCGACUCUACCAUUCCAAAACAAUCUCAAUUCAGACUCUCAUACAAUUAUGACAAUGUAAAUCACUUCCAUUUUCUAAAAAUUCGGACUCUCACAUACUCCAAUGCAUAUAUGCGCAGUAUCACCAAGACAAGAACAACGUGCUGAGGGUGGUGCUGUCGACGAUGUACAGCACGGGGUGGGUGGGGAUGGGGUUCUCCCGGGACGGCCUCAUGGUGGGCUCGAGCGCCAUGGUCGGGUGGAUCGGGCGGAAGGGCCUCCCGCACGUCAAGCAGUUCGCGCUGCGCGGCAAGACGAGCGGCAAGGUGGUCGUCAACCGCGGCUUCCUCGUCUCCAACUCCAACAACCACGACCACACCGUCGUGGUGCAGCAGGCCAGGAUCUACCUCGCGUUCCAGCUCCAGUUCUCCUACCGACUCACCCACCAGCACAUCAUCCUCGCCUUCGGCUCCUCCAUCCCCGUCAACAACAAGCUCACCAAGCACCAGGACAAGACAUCCUUCACCUUCGAUUUCACCACUGGUACGUAUAUAUUCCUCAGGUUAUAAGACGUGUCAAAGUCAAACUACUUUAAAUUUAACUAAGUUUAUACAUAAAUAUAGUAAUAUUUAUAAUACUAAAUUAGUUUCAUUAAAUCAAUAAUUGAAUAUAUUUUCAUAAUAAAUUUACGUUGAGUUGAAAAUAUUAUUUUUUCUAUAAACUUAGUCAAACUUGAAGCAGUUUGACUUUGACCAAUGUCAAAACGUCUUAUAAUUUUCAGAGGGAGUAUAUUAUAUGCUUCUCAUCAACCUGAUCUUGAUCUUCUCCUCUCUCCCUCUGUUUAAUUUGGACAACUUGACAUUUUCGCUGCACUAUGUGUGAGGUUCAGAGUGAAGUCCCUGACGGUGGUUAGCAAAUCUGUUGAUGAAUGACAUUGCACCUAACUGGAAAAUUGAAUAAUAGGAGUAACAAAUUACAGUUGACAUCUUAGUCGAUCCUAUAUACCAUAAAAAAUGAGCUGACAAUAUCACUUGAACUGUAAUCAAUGUGUCAGUUAGCGAAAAAGGUGUUUGAUUCUUGAAGUUUCAGUCGUCAGUCGCCACUUUUCUGUUGCCGUAUCAACAUUCUUCCUUGGUGGCAUUAUGUGCACAACAAGAUGCUUUUACACACUCCGUCUUCAAAUACUAGACCUCUUAUUGGAUACUACUCAUAUUCAUCUUUAAACUUUAACUACUUAUCUUUUAAAAAACUAUAUAAAUAUUUAAUCAAGUGUUGCAUCCUAAAUAUACGGCCCCAUCGUAUCGCUCAAACGAAAAAUAAUUUGUGAAUAAAACUUUUAUACAUAUUUUCUUAGCGAUUUAAAAACAAAGACUGAAAAAUAAACUUUAAUGAAAAAAACCCCAAAAUCAAUUUUAAAUUUGAUGUUGAAAAUUUAAAUUUUGGCUGGUAAGUAUAAGUAUAAGCGAAAAGAUGAGGCCGAUAGUUGUGAAACUUGAGGGAGCAUUUUCGAAAACAUUUUUUUUUACAGCAGAGUUGAUGAAUCUGCAGGUAAAGCUUUCGUGGACGGGUCGUUCCCCUACGGUCUGAGGAGGGCACACGGUGCUCUGAACCUGUUCGCGUGGGGCGUCCUGAUGCCGAUCGGCGCCAUCCUGGCGCGCUACUUCCGGCGGAUGGACCCUCUCUGGUUCUACCUCCACGUCGGCGUCCAGUUCGUCGCCUUCAUCAUCGGCCUCGCCGGCGUCGUCGCCGGAGUUGCCCUCUACAACAAGAUCCAGGCCGACAUCCCGGCGCACAGGGGCCUCGGCAUCUUCAUCCUCGUCCUCGGCAUCCUUCAGGUCGUCACCCAUUGCACGCAUCACAUCUCUCUGCUCCGUUCUUGCAGAAAGCAAGCACGGUCACUGCAUGAACAGAACAGAUGAACUGAUGAUGAUGAUGAUUUUCUGAAAUGUUUCAGAUUUUGGCGUUCUUCCUGCGGCCGAACACGGACUCCAAGUACCGGAAGUAUUGGAACUGGUACCACCACUGGUCGGGCAGGCUGGUGCUGUUCUUCGCCGCCGUCAACAUCGUGCUCGGUAUCCACGUCGGCGGCGGGGACAACUCGUGGAAGAUCGGGUACGGCUUCAACCUCGCCAUCAUCCUCCUCGCCGUCAUCGGGCUGGAGUUCAUGCUGCGGACGAGGUGGUCCAAGGAAAGCGAGCCCACGCCGACGUACUAGGCGCGGCGCCGGCGGCCGCCGUUGAUGCCGCGAACCCACUAUUUUUUGGUUUUUUUUUUGUGCCCUUGGGCGCUGGACUGUGUCUUAGCUCUGGUGGUGUUGUGAUUGUUUUUUGGCCUUCUGUGCUGUUCGAUUUUCUGCAUGUUGCUGUCAAGUGAAACUGUGAAAAAGUGUAAGCGUGAGCAGGUGCAAUUGCACUAUGCCACAAUUGAUAGGUUUUCGUUUUUGUUUCUGAGAUGCACUGUCCUGAGGUGUAAGACCACUUGCUUAGCAGAAAAAGUCAAUGACGGUCAUGGUGCAUAGGACAACUGCUGCUAGGAGUUUACAGCGUACCAGAUAGUAGUUCACAGUUCAGGACAUUUCUGAUCGAAAUUUUCAAAAUGUUGAAUACACAAGAGUAUCUCGGUAGGACUUGGCACCGAUCAAAAAAAUUCAGCUAAAAAAAAACAGAUUCAGCAAAAAUAUAUUCAAAAUUCAAGAUGUUUUUUUUGGAAUAUUCAAUAAGCACAUCUUUGCAUUAAGAGAAAUAAAAGUUAUUUAUGAGCCAACUAAAAGACAAAAAAAAAGAGAAGGGGAACGGGAAAGGGGAAACUGAAAAGAGCAAAACUGCGAAAACCUAUUCUCGCUACAGAAGUUGGUUGGUGAUCACCAGGACCCCUAGUAGCUAAGGGGCUGUUUGGUUGCUGCCCUCGCCUGGAGACCAUUGCUCAGGCAGGUCGAUCCGACCGCAGGCGACCGAAAUUGGACGCCUGAGAUCGACGCCUGAGCCAGGCGCGAAUCUGAGGGCAGCAAGCAAACACGCCCUAAACUCCUAACGUCGGCAUUAACACAUUAGCCAAACACCAAAAGCCCCGCCUUCCGCAGCCAUAGCCUUCCCUACCUCCGCCCAGGAUCUCUGUUGAAAGUUGAACAUCCUAUUUUCCGUUCCUUUUAAAUUGUCCAUGCUACAAGAGUUGCAAUAGUGUUGAACCUUCGUCGAAGAACCUUGGUGAGAGCCACUAGUAAAACAAGUUCUCACGCAUUGACAGACUGUAUGACUACCCAAUUGCCUUGAGCGCCAGUCUUCCGGGCAUACGACCAAGAUAUGAUUGAUAUUGUCCUCUUGCUGAUCGAAAAGGACACAACGACCAGGGGUGUGCUAGCCCAUGACUACGGAGGCGGUCGGCCACCUAGCACAUGUUUAGAGUGACUAGCCAAACGAAGUAGCGACAACAAAGUGGUGCCAACGACUUCUAGAGAAUUUAGGUCCCGUUUGGCACAGCUCUAGUUCUCAACUCCAACUUACCUAAAGCUGGAGUUGUGCCAAACGGUACAGAUUCUUCAUUUUUCGGAGCGGAGUUAGUAGAGUUGCUCCACAAAUUUGUAUUACGGGGGUGGAGCUGUUUUUUUUUCUCCUCCACAGCUCCACUCUACCUCCAAAAGACCCACUACCCUUUAAUUUUUUUAAUGUAUUUACACAAAAAUGCCAAUGAACUACCCCCUUCAAACCCCUCUCCUCUCGUUCUCUCUCCUCCCCAUCUUCCUCCCGACCUAGGCGACGACCGACGAAGGGUUGCGGUGGAGUCGACGGCGGGCGCAUGUCGCGGUUGUGAAGCGGUGCGCGUGGCAGUAGGUGGCGACGCGCGGGCUGACUGGCGGCGGCACGCGAGCGGAGCGGCGUUGGCAGGCGCGGGCUGACUGCUGGCGGCACGCGAGUGGAGUGGCGUCGGUGACGCGUGGUCUGACCGCCGGAGGCAGUGACGUCAACAAGGUGGUCGAUGAAAUGGCGACAAGAGAUGUGGUGGCGUGGAGCUGACAAAUCUAGCCAAACACUUUCUAUACCCACCUCAGUUUCUAUUGGAGCUUGUUUCCACUGGAGUUGGAGUUUGUAACUCUACCAAACGGAACCUUAAAAUGUUCAUUAAAAAUAUUGGAAUUCUAGCCCCUAAAAUAUUUUCUUACCCCAAAACUGUGAGCUCUCUGAGACAUCCGGAUCAGAAGUUCAGAACCAAUCACACCACCGCUUGGAGUGGAUUGAGUUCAGGUGCAGUCAUUACUAUGCCUUCAACUUUAGCAAUUGCAAUGUAGCUGAUGAAUAAAAACCAACAGCUCAGGGUGUGUUUAGUUGGGGAAAAGAAAAUUUUUGGGUGUCACAUCGGACGUUUGAUCGGAUGUCGGAAGGGGUUUUCGGACACGAAUGAAAAAACUAAUUUUAGAAAUCGCCUGGAAACCGCGAGACGAAUCUUUUGAGACUAAUUAAGCCGUCAUUAGCACAUGUGGGUUACUGUAGCACUUAUGGCUAAUCACGGACUAUUUAGGCUUAAAAGAUUCGUCUCACAAUUUCCCCCAUAAUUGUGCAAUUAGUUUUUCUUUUUAUCUAUAUUUAAUGCUUCAUGCAUAUGUCCAAAGAUUCGAUGUGAUGUUUUUGGGAAAAAAAUUUGGGGAACUAAACGGGCCCUCAGACCAUUAGAAAAGAUGAAUUACUGUAGUGAAUUUCUCCUGUAGCGAUUACUAUAUCAUCAAGGUGUGAAUGUGUAAUAGCAAGGCACAGCAAAUCUGAGCCUUUAGCUCCAUCAAUCCAACGGUUAUAAUGUGCUUCAACUGUUAAAGUUGCAUUCGUUACUACUUACUAUAACUGCACACAUGAUCUGAAUUCGUUUGGAGCAGCAGGCUGCGCGGCGGGCGGCAGGCUCACGCUGAUACAGGCCGCGCCGGUGCCGCCCAACCCAGCAAAGCAAAGCAGCCGCAGCAGCCCACGCACGCCACGCGCUCCAAGCGGCCCGCUGCAUGCCACAACCGCGCAGUCCGCUCGGCGUCCGCAAUGGCGCAACUCGCGCAUCAGCGACGGCAAGCGCUGGCUCUGUGGCUGCACCUGCACCUGCAUUGCUGCGGUCAGCGUACGUGCGUAUUUGGUGUGUCAACUGGCUUGUUUACGACUUGAUUUCGCACCCAGGAAAACACCAAAUUGGGGUUCGUACAAGUAAGGCAAGGAAACCGAUCCUACUGUAGCACAGCCUAACGUACGUUGCUAAUGAGGGUAGGUUUGGGAUAUUUUUGCGAUGCAGCGUGACGGGAGAUUUAGUUCCGGUGUCGGUCUGAAAUCUGAAUGGAUUAUAUUAGGCAUGAAAUUGCCCGUAAUCCAAACUCCGAAGGUGACAUGAAGAGGUCCAAAGAGUGGCAAUCACAUUAACGACCACACUUGAUGAAUACAGAGAGAUGCCCUUCCUUUGCAACGGUGGGGAUUCCAUACUUUCAUACCACUGGAUUUGGCCCUAAGGCUACACAUGGGUAUAUGAACUCCGUCUUUCGCCCCAUAUGGAUGCACCAAUGUGCAUGGAAAAUAUCAUAAAAACUGAAGGAGUGUAACUUUGGGUUAUAAAACACGGAUUGAAAUUUUGGCAUUUGUUUAUCAUAUUAAUACUAGCAGCUUGUCUUAUUUAUUUAUACUCCACUUUGUGUGGAUCUUUUUUAGUGAUGUAUUUGUGGUUCAUUCAUUACCAAUAAAAACUACAUUUAGCAUGGACCAUUUAUAAUAGUGUGUUUGUUGGUCUUUGUGUGUCUUUGACACAAUGAUAACCAUCCAUUAUCUAGAAAAAAACUAUGUUUAGUGUGGAUCACUUGUAAUAAUGUGUAUUGUUGUGCUUUCUUCUUUUUUUUUGCGGGGAUAUUGUUGUGCUUUCUGUUCCUUCAAUACAAACAGACCGGUAUACAAACCGUGGCGUGGCUUUCUUACCCAUGCCACGGUUUUUAGGCAUUACAAAGAUGGCAAUUACAUGAUUGACAUAUAAAGAAAAUAUUGUUAGAAGAAAUCUUGUGAGUAUAUUGAAUUCAAUGGUUGUGUUGCAAUGCAAGAAAUACAAUUUUGUCUUUCCUCUAGCUACAUGGAUCCUCAACCUCCCAAAUACAUUCUUAUAUUGUUGCUGGUUCUUAGUGUUAGAGUUUAUUUAAAACAUGAUUGAAUUGUAUUGAGUCCGCCCUUCUAUUUUGAUCCUUCCAUAUUUCCUCUAUCUCUCUAUAUAAACCGCCCCUCGAUGCUCAACGCAACAACCGACAUUACACGUUACCAUCUCUCUCACACAAGCUUUCAUGUCAUUAUAGCGGGUGGUUUAGUGCCGUUACAAACUUCCCCACUACUGCCGCCCUUAGGAAGAUGGGUCUCUUGGGGGCGCCCCACCUCUUCUCGCUUAGCUUUUCGUCAUCGUCUAUGCAUCCAUGCCAUCUUUAGGCAACAACAAGCCAUUAUAUAUCCAUCGCUCCCGAUCUCCUUGACCUAUACUCCUCCUAGUUUUUUCAUUCUUCGCUUGAUAGUGAAUUGCUUGGUCACCACAGCUGGUGGCUGGGCCUAUGCCUCCUCUGUCCCAUCUCUGAUCGGAGGGCUGAAGUUGUCGCCGAAGCAUGGAGCUGUUCCCCCCAACCACACUAGUUUUCUUUCUCAUCGUCAUCUGCACCACAAUUCGCUUGGAUCUGCCUCGACUCUGAUUUGCUAAACUCUCUCGAGCUUCUUCGCAUGGCUGCCUGAUCAGUGAGUCGCUACCGUCCCCUAGGGCCCGUCUCCGUCACCGUCACUAAGUGGGCCUUGGUCUCUGCCGAGGUUAUCAAAUUCCUACCGGUAUCCUUAUAUUCCUCCUCUUCUCAUAGGUCCAAGCUAACAUGUCUCUUUAUCUUCCCUCUCAUAUCUAAAUCAUUCAAAAUUGAAAUUCAUGUGAUUUUUCUAUGAUUGAACCAAACACCUCAAAUUCACUUCCAAUAUGGCCUCACUAUUCAUGGCAUUUAAUUAUCAAAAAUUAUAUUUCUUUGUUUUCUUCAAUUAUGCAUUUCAAAAUGAACUGGAUCUCUAAGUAAGUUAAGGCAGGAAAUCAAUGUAGGCUCUGUUUUCCUCUAAAAUGGCAAAAGUUUUGCUAUUUUGUAGCACUUUUUGCCAUUUUGGAUCUAAACACUAGUAGCGAAAGUUGGCAGUUUGGCAUUUGGCAUUUGCUAGUCCAUAGUAGCAAAUUGUGCCAAAAAGUGCUUUGGGACCACUCCCUCUCUCUUUCUCUCUCUCACUUUAGUGCUAGAAAUGACAAAACUUUAACAUGCAUCUAAACACCAACUAGUACUUUUGCAAUGCCAAAACUUUGCCACCAAAACUUUUGCCAUUUGCCAUUAUAAAUGGAUCUAAACAGGCCCGUAUUCCUCGUAUAGAACAGUGAUCCAUGUAUAGAAUUUUACCAAUCCCAUUACUUUGUUCUAAAACAUCUUUGGAUUGGAUAAAACUAAUUUUUCUUGGUAACUGAAAAGUAAGAAACUCUGGAAACCGGCGUCUCGUAGUCGUAGUACCGGCCACGCAAGACCCGGGGAGUCCUCACGCUCUCCUCCCUCUUCGCGCUCACAUGACCCAUCAAUCCGUGACGUGGAAGUGGAUAAGCACAUCCACGUCCUCACGCUAUCCAAUCCUGGCCGUCCGUCCCCAACCCCCACGUCACGUCUUCUCCUACCUAAAUCGCACACGAGAUGUAUAUCACUCUGCUUUUCUGGGGCCACGUAGUUGCUGGACCCACACGGCAGUGUCCAUUUUGUCCGCGCAGGUGCUGCGAGGACAAACCCACCGUCAGUGACUGGAUCGUGUGGGUGACUCGGAGCUGAGCUGGGACCCACUGUCAGUGAAUGGAUCAAGGGUGACUCGGAUCUGAGCUGGGACCCACUGUCAGUGACUGGAUCAAGGGUGACUCGGAUCAGAGCUGGGACCCACUUUCAGUGACUGGAUCGUGUGGGUGACUCGGAGCUGAGCUGGGACCCACUGUCAGUGACUGAUCGUGUGGAUGACUCGGAGCUUGGGUGGCGCUAGGAAUUUUCUCGGGUGGCUUGCAGAACGGAGCACGGGGAUGAACUGAAGAAGACGCGUGAUUAUGCAAACCGCCCCCCGGAAUUCUGAGCUAAUCCCGCACUGUGGCAUGGGCCAGGUUUCGCAUUAGGCCAGAGAAUUUGGUGCUAAUCACACUCCCUGCCAUUGGAGGAUUUUACUCGAACACCACUGGUUCUUGUGCUAAUCACAUCUACACCCUAGCCUCGAGGUGCAGUCGUAGAGGUGGCAGAAUUGAGAAUAGGUGCGAGGAAUGGAGGGCAUUGUUGGAAGAGUGGAAACGAUAAAGCCUUGGGCCGUCUGGCUCGCCUCUCCAUCGCCAUUGCUGCUGCUCGCUCCGCUUCUCUUCUCUUCUCUUCUGGUCUCGCUGUUAGAUUCACCAAGAAACUCAUUUCUUCGCGCAAUUUCUCCUCGGCUUCUCGGCUCGAGAUGUUUGAUCUGUAGAGUGAGGCGCAGAGGUGGGAGAGAGUGCGUGUGAUUGGGGGGAAACUGAAGAGGGGCGAGGAGAGGUAGAGAGGGAAGGAGGCCAUCGAUUUGAUGCGUGGCUCCGGCGAGGCCGUCGCCGUUGCUCGAGACGUCGCGUCGUCGAGCCCGGCGAAACCCCCAUCGGCAUUGGACAUGAUGAGGUGAGGCCUGGAAUCUCCAAUCCCCUGAUGCGUUCGUUGCUGCCGUGCUUCUGGGUGUUCUAUCUGCUGCUGCCGCUGCGUUCUUUCGCGAGAUCAAAGGUGUGAUUUUAUCUGCUCGUUUGGGCUUCUGGUUUGUGUCGCUUCGGCUCUCGCCGCCCGAUUUAGGCAAGUUUUGUUCAUUCCUUUUCUUGCUCGCCGUCGGAUUUCUGUUCGUGUGCCGUCUUGAUUUCCUUGUUUGACAAAAGGCAUCCUUUGAUCUAUGUUCGGUUUACUGCUGGAUUUUGCCAAUUCGUCCCUGUUCGGUCCGGCUGUAUCUUAUCUUUGCUUGUUGCAAUUUCGUUGCUUUUUUCCCCAUUUCAUGGUCACUUUGACUGGUUUCUGAGUAACUUGUCGAUUUCGUUCUUGUGCUUGUUCUUCGUCGGCUCCGUGCUGAUGGGGAUGAGAGCUCACGGCUGAAGAUUUUUCGUUCCCUGAGUGGCCUAAUUGUUUCAGAUAUCCACGAUUUUCAGCGUUUUCUCGAGUUUGUGUGGUGUGCUGGUUUGUGUCGAACAGAUCUCUGAAUGGUUUCGUUUGGUCUUCGAUUUUGCACUCUGCAAAUUUGGGGAUGUUCUACUGUUUUUCCUGUCGCGAAUUCUCGCGAAAAAGGAGAGUUUUUGCUGUUCGUUUCAUCCUCCAUUCUGAAGGGGAGACCUUGUUCUUGUCUGAUCCAAUCGCUCUUGUGUUUCUGUUUGAUUCUGCUGCAGAUUUCAGAGAGUCAGCCCUGAUUGUCUCCCGCUCCCCAAUGGCGGCGGCGGUGGCGGAGGUAGCCGGAAGCCGGCGGCGGGGCCCAGAUCGAGCAAGGACGACGACGCCCCGGCCGCCGCCGCCGCCGCCGACAGCGCGCGUACCAGCCCCUACCUCGCCGCGGCAUCCGCAUCGCUCGAGUCCAAGCCGCGCACUCGCGCUCCUCCUCCGCCGCCACCGGCACCGGCUCCGGCCCCGCCGUCGUCGUCGUCGGCAGCCGCUGCGCCAGGCAGGAGCCCGGCGCGCGAGCGCGAGCGCGACCACGGCCACCACCCCUCCGACAUCUCCGACCCCACCUCCCCGAGCUCCACCGGCGUCGGCGGCGGCGGUGCUGGGGGGAGCGGCAGCGCGGUGCCCGACUCCGCCGUGCUCCUCCAAUGGGGACACAACAAGCGCUCGCGCGGACGCCGCGACGCCUCCGCCUCGUCGUCGUCGGCGGCCGCGCCCUCGCCGCAGCGUCGCCAGGCCGCCGCCGCCGCGGGCGUCAAGAUCCAGCGCCGCUCCUCGGCGCCGGCGGAGAAGCUGAUGCCGCCGCCGAGCACGACUCCCUCCCGCAGCUCCACCCUCCGCGUCACCUCCUCCCUCCCCGCCCGCGGCGGCGGCGGCGGCGACGCCCACCACCAUGGCCGCUCCGCCCUCCCCCACAACAGCAGGUACACGCACUUACCCAUCCUUCGGUGGAUAGCCCGGCCCGGCCCGGCCCAUCAUCUCAUCGUCUUCCUCCUCUUUUUCCUUUUCCCCGAAUUUUUCACUCUUCCGGUUUUGCCCCUCGGACCGAGCCGUAUUCUCGGGCUCGUGGCCUCGCGGUCGCCGGCAUCGGAUCGCUUCCGGUUUGGUUCUAGUAUAGUGGGGCUCUAGGCUCGGCUCGGCUCGGGUCUCCCGCUCUCUCACACUCUGGAUGGUGAGCUGAGCUGUCACGCCCCCUCCAUCUUUAGCAACCGAGGUGAGGUGCGUUUAGAUGAUAAGAUACCUUCUCCUCUUUUCUUUCCACACCAUUUUUUUCCCUUUUUUUUUUGUACAACAAGAGCAAUGAAAAUAAAAAUAUGUAGUAGCAAUACUGGUUUGAUCGGACUAGUGGUCAAUCACUCGGUUGCUUCUGCUUUUAGAAACGACUUUUAGAAUUUCUCUUUCCUGAUUUUCGAGAUCCUUUAGGCAACAAUUUUUUGUACUACUAGCCUCUGUCACCAUGUCCAUGUCAGGAUCAUCAUCAAGCGAGGAGGAGAGCACUUUCCCCUCUUCUUUUCUUUGCUAAUCUGUGGGCUCAUUCCCAUUCAUGUCGAUCUAGCAUUUCAUUUCUGUAUGCAAUAUUGCAAUCCAUAUGUCCAUUAAUGGCUUCUUUUGGUUCAUGUGGUGUGGUGAUGUGCCAUGUGUGUGUGUGUGAACGAUCAACCGUGACAUCAACUUCAGGCAGCUGAUAUAGAAGGUGUUGAUGUAAUAUAGGUAUAAAAAUAGGACACACACAUACACAUGCACCCUCAUCUCAUUCUCAUCUCCUCCCUCUUUAUGUGGGUUGGCAUCUGGCAGUCGCUUUGCCGGUGCUCUGCUGUGCUCAUUUCAUCUGCAUCCACCAUUUCACCUGGCUGCUCUUGCAUCCACUAGAGCUAAGAUAGAUAGAUUGAUAAAAACACAAAAAAAAGUUUCUGUUUUUGUUGUUGUGUCCAGCAUCCACCGCUGUAGUGGCGAGUUUGCUUUUGUUGCUAUGCUUGAAUUUGACGGCAUGAUGAUGAUCAGAUCCGGCGAGCAGUCGGCGGCGGCGACGAAGGCGGAGAAGCAGCAGCAGCGGCCGGCGGCGCACAGGGUGGCGGAGGCCGGUGGGGUGGUCAUGGCGCUGGCCAAGACGGACUCCAAGUAUCAGCACCACACCGGCCAUGGCGGCCACGGCCAGGCCGCCGACCACCAUGGGCCCAGCUCGUCGUCGAAGGCGGCGACAGCGGCGGCGCAGAAGAUCGAGCUGCCGCGGAUCUACACGACGCUGUCGCGCAAGGAGAAGGAGGAGGACUUCAUGGCCAUGAAAGGCACCAAGCUGCCCCAGCGACCCAAGAAGAGGCCCAAGCUUGUCGAGAAGCAAGUCAACGUAUGGAUAAAUUAUGCUACCUAAUCAAACUGUGUUUUACUACCAUCUUUUUGCUUGAUGGUCUUGAUGAGAAAACUGACAUGAUUUUUUUGUUCUGUAUUUGUGCAGUUCGUCUGCCCAGGAAUGUGGCUCUCGGAUGUGACCAGAUCCAAGUAUAUCGUCCGCGAGAAGAAGUCCACCAAGAAGGUACAUAUACUCCUCUAUCGAUUUUAUCCACAUCCACUUUCUCUGAUUUGCAUCAAGUUAGUAAGUAUUUAAAAAUCGAUAGGUUCAGUAAUACUCCUAACUACUUAAAAAUCGAUAGUACUAGUAUUUGGCAGUAUCGUCUGAAAUUGCGUAAAAUUUGGUGAAAAUAAAAAAUUACCGGGAAAGCCUGAGAAAGCAUCAAAGCGAAGGGGCAGGAAAAAAAGCGAAAGGGAAAACGAUCCGUCCGUCCGUCCGUCCCCUAUGUCGAGUGGGGCCCACGCCCGUGAAUGCGCGAGGGGUGCUCAUUGAUGACUGUGCUUAACCGGCAUCUCUGCACUUUAUUAUCUUUUGCCGACGAGCGGACGUGGGCCCACGUUGGUAGCCUCUUAACGCGUGCUGUCCCGGUCACCCUGCAGGUGGGACCCACCGCAACGCUCGUUGUGGCUCACUGACACGUGGGUCCCUCGUGCAGUCUUGUUGCUGUUUCUGCUUACGUGGGGUUCUUUCUUCUCUUGCACUUCUGAAGUUAGAUUAGGACAUGUAAUAAUCAGCAUCAACUGUGGGUCAUCGUUAGUUGAUUCGUCGAAUUACUUGUGCCAAGUAGUAGACCUUUUGUCUCUUGUUGUGUUUUUGCUAACAGCUGUACUCGCCGUUCGGUUUGUGUUGUGCGUAAUCUGCAAUUGCCUCUGACGAGAAAUCUAAUAUCUCUAUGUGUUUUUCUUUGUUCCUCUCCUCUGCAGCAACAAAAAUACAGGGGACUGAAAGGGAUGGAGAGCAUGGACAGCGACUCCGAGUGAUCGCGAAAACCCGGAGCGCGACGCACAGAGAUAGCAGCACAAGUGGGGUGAAUUUCGCGUUGGAGCCUGGAGAAAAAUCGCGGAAAAGAGAAACGUAAGAUCAGUAGAGGAGGAAGAAGAAGAGGAGGAAGAUAGGUCAAAGAUGGAUGGCGAUGCAAGCAUGAGCCUUCUUUUGGUUUAGGAGAAAAAAACAAACAAAAAAAGGAUGAUGAAAAACUUUCAUUCGGCUGUUCCUUCGAUUCCAUUUUGUAAAUCUGGGUGAUUAGGGGCGGCUUUUUUUUUCUAAUUGUUUUCUCUUUUUUGUUUUGGUGAAAUUUGGUGGUUUACAUCCAUGGCCAUUGCCAUGUGGUGAUGGUGGUGGGCUGUGAAUAGUUUUAGACUGUCAGAGACAUUCAGAGUCUCAGGAAGAAGAAAGGAGAAAACUGAUGUUAGCUCGCUCAAUUCUGCGUAUCAUUCUUCCGUCAUUUUUUCUGCAUAGACUGCCUGUGUUUUUUUUACUAUUGGCCGUGCAUUGCGACGGCGAGCUCUUUUGCAGGAACAUUUGCUGGCAACCUCGUACGGCUUCAGCAGAUGCAGAUCUGACCUCCGGCUGUGGUUGCAGGGUUGAAGACUCGCAGGCAGUGUGUCAUCAGAGGCCCAGAGCCCAAACAAUGCUCAUAUGAUUAUAGUGCUACUGUACCCCAUCUCUCAAAUAAACUACUUUUGUAUAUUUAAUAAAUGGAGGGAAUACAACAAGCUUCUUUAGACUGAAGCUAACCUCUGCUGUUCCACUAGGAAAUCAUGCGAAUGACACGCGGAAAUUCAGUAGAAAUUUGACAAAUUGACAUAUUAUUCAUUAUCAAUUUAUUUUAAUUGAUACUUAUGAGAAUGACACGUGGGACUAUCCGAGUGAAGGGAAAUGGAUAGGGUAUCAAAUAAUUGAACCUCAAUUUUGUGGAGUGUUAAAUUAUCAAAUCUCUCGGUUUUGAGGGACAGGGCACGGGCAAUGUUUGGUGCUUUGAGGCUCCGUGGUUACUCCAUCAUGCAGCUCCGUAUGGCAGUUCGACCAGUGCAUACAGGAGUAUUAGUCUAGGAGUACCAUAACUGGGACGGCUGUAGAGUGCAGAUUAAUGUUGGGUGACACAGGCACAGUUUGGUGGAGGGCACCCCUGCUCACCAAACGGCUUUUGGAUUCUUCUUCUCUCCUCUCCAUGGCAGCCGUCGUCAUCUGUGAGCCGCCAUCCACUGCCGUGCCUCGUCCACGGCCAAAAUGGCAAAAAAUCCCUGCAACUUGCUUACCGAUCGGGUGAUCUAUCAUCUCCUGCUUCGGUGAGAUUUCAUUCACUUCAGUAGUUCAGUAUCUCUCUUGCGUGUCGGUGGAUUGGCCGCGAGGCGUGUGAUCUCUUGCGUAUCUCUCUUUAGUUUGGUUCUUCAGUUGAGAAGACCAAGAAUGAGAAAUUGAGAUGUAGAGCCGGAUUAAUUCGGGGAUCUCACCGGAGCUCAUGGGGGGAGGGAGGGAUGAAAUUGGCGAGCAAAAACUCCCAACGCGCGCGAUUCGCCGGGCGGCGCUCUGACGGACAAUCCGAGGCGGCGAAAACGACGAGCGGCUGGUCCUCUCUCUCUCUCUCUCUGCUAGAUCGCCCGUCACGUCGCAUCUCCCGGCGGGGACACGGAAAACGUCAAGCUCCAAACGCUUGUUCGCCGCUGCCUCCGGGCUGCAGGCAGAUGAUGCUAGUACGUGGUUAUGAUCCGUGGUCCACAGCGACAGCGCGCUGAGCCCGAGAGCAAGGUUAAAGUAAAUAGUAUAGCCAAUUAUUAGCUUCAAAUCAUCUAUAAUCAAUUUAACAAUCUAUAUAAUAGGAGUAAAUUUCAGAAAUAUACAACUUUAGUGAUAAAACUAUCGUUUUACUGCAACAAUAGCGUGGAAAAUCUAUCUAUCUAUUAUACUAUUAAUACAGCUCGAAAAGAAGGCACCACGUUCACCGUAGAGACUAGAAAUUACCACGUUAAUCGAAGAAAAAGAAAAAAUAUCGACCGCUUGAUCGUUGAUGGCCUAUAUUUUAAUGGCUGAGAUUUAAUUAAAAUUUUGGAACAUUAGACUUGGUUUCACGUAUACAGACAUAUCAGGCACUAUAAAUCGGGUAUAGUAUCAUACACGGAUCGACAUGUGCAGUAGUAAUAGGUACCAAUUACGACAAUAAUAGCAAUAAGACAGUAGAUUCCAAAAUAAAAACACCCUACACACAAUCCGACUCUGCCAGCCUUCACCGAUUCCUGGCUAAUCUUGAUUGACUCCCCAAUAAAUACUAAGCACCAGAACGGAGUCACCAACCAGAACAACAAGAGAAGAUGUCAAUAGCAAUCAACACAACCGAAGUGUCCGCAAAACACAGCAGCAAAAAAUAUGUCCAGGACGCCAUUGUCGCCGGAUCAUUAUCGUCAAAUUUAGCCUUUUCCAGUUCGGUUUCUUCCUCUCACAACGGCCCUUUGGUAUGUUCUGCUCAUCUUCUUCUUUUAUAUUCAUGUUUACAUAUUUGUUAAAUUUAUUAGCUACUCAUUCAAUGGUAUUUGUUUUAAGACUGAAAUAAUCUCGAUUAACCAUACAUCGUCAAAUAUUUUUGAUGUCAAAUAUUUUGGAUGGAUAUGGAGUGUGUGAGCACAAUUUUUUUUAUGACAUCCCCAAAGGAAUCCUGUGAGCUUCGCAUUGCGAAUCCAAUCAAACAUCCAACAAGCAAGACGAGAACUUGAUAUUUUGCAUAAGAGACAAAACAAAUGAUAUGAAUGCACAUUACUAUUUACCUGAAAGAUCCACUGCUCCAAGCAUGGACAGCAAAGGAGAUGCUGCGCCUAAGGGACCUCGGGGCUUCGUCGCACACAGUAACCGCACACCUCUGAUGCAUGAGAACGGAUCUGACCCUGGAGGCUGGAGCCCUUCCACGUUUCCAUCACGCCAAGCUGGACGGGGAGUAGGGAGGGACACCGAGAAAAGUCAAGCAACCGACGACUGGCGGCUGGCGCCGGCCACUGGGAGGGGAGAACGAGGGAAAUUUUUCAGGAAGCAAGUGGGGAAAAGAUGAUAGAAGAGAGGGAGGCGGAAAAAAUCAGGAAGCAAGGAAGUGGAAGUGGGGAAAAGAAGAUGAGAGAGGUAAACAUGACUGACUGACCGGUGAAGUGGUGAGUGGUGAGAGCGAAGACUUAAAAAAAGAAAAUGUUGUUGCGCUUGAAAAUAAUGUAGUCCUCCUGUUACUUUUAAUUGAUGAUACCUUUAAUUUUUAGAGACAUAUUUGACCAUGUAUUUUAUUCAACAUUUUACGUAAAUACUUAGGAUAUAACUCAUGCUUAAAAUACUUUUAAUGAUAAAACAAUUGUAUUUAUGUAAAUUUUUUCAAUAAGUAAACGGUGCCAUCUAUUAAAAUACGAGGGCAGUAGUAUUUUUAUACUGCUUUAAACAUUCAACUCUACCAACAAAUAUAAAUAAAUAAUACCUAAAUUUUGGGAUAAAAAAGCAUAAAAAUUCAGACACACAGCACAAGUGCACACACGUGACUACCAGACAUAUCUAUGAAACUGUUAAAAGGUCCAAUUUUUAAACUUUAGAAACAAAAAGGUCUAAACUUUAAAGAUUAUAAGGAGGAUAAAUAUAAUUUGUAUAGAUCCGAUGAAAAAUAAAGGGGGUGAAAAAAAUAAGAGGUAGCGAGUAGUGUGACUUUAAAAAUAUAUAAAAUUAGAAACACGGGGAUAAUAAGGAUCAAUAUUUUAAAAUCAUAAUACAAUGAGAUGAUUAUUUAAUAAAAUUUAUGUGUUAAAAUAAAUAAUUUUGUAGGUGCUAGCCGCGCAAUUGCGCUGGCCACCCAGCUAGUUAUCACAAAAUAACUUUUACGUGUAGCAGCAUAUAGCGUAAAAGUUGCAGUUUUGUGAUAAUUUCCCACGCUAUUGUUACAUCAAACUGAAACAUGCUACUAAUGUUGUAGCAAACUGAUAGUUUUGUCAUUAAAGUUGUAUGUUUCUGAAAUUUACUCAUAUAAUAGUUACUUGUAAACAUAUAAUGCACUAUUAAUAUCUGGUCUUACCUAUAAUACACAUGUUGCGUCUUGAAGUCUAUAUUAUAGCUGGCUACAAAUGUGUAUGACCCGCUGAUUUUCCCUCUCCUAUUUAUUUCCACGGAAUAUGUUUACCUUUGGUUUUUGGUUUAUAGUAUGUUAUUUUACCUGAUCUGAUCGGCCGAUUUAUUUAUGGAUAAAACGAAAAGAUCCAUCCGCCGCGUCUACGACUGCGACGUUGGUCGGUCGCAGACUCGCAGCCUCCUGAUCCAUUUACUACCAAAAAACGUUCAGGUCAGGGAGAGACUCAGGACCAUCUCGGGAGAAAUUCUAACGAGACCCACACAGUCUGGCCCAACUACUGUCGCAUUUGUUUAAAUGGGCUGAGCUCUCGGCCCAUACAAUUGGAUGGUUAUUGGGCUGAUGAGCCGGAAAUGCGAGCCCAAUUGUAAACCUAAAACACCGCUCGCCGCUGCACCUGCACGCGCCGCAUCUCUCCCUCACUCUCUCGAUCUCUCACUCGCGUCGCCGCCGUCGCCGCCGCCGCCGCAACUGCCGCUUGCCGAAGCUCCUCCUCCUCGCCGACGAGAUGGUACGGCCGCCCUUCCCUACUCUAUGGCUCCUCUGAUCCUUGCUCUCCAUCUGCGGAGCCUUAGGUUUCUGUCCGUUCGUGGCUGGAGCAUUCUUGAUUUGUGGCUUUAUCACAAGUUCCUUUUCCGCGCGAUGGAGAUAUGGUUUCUCAGUUAGAUUUGCGAAGGUUUUAGCUUGUGUUGAGUGAAAUGAUGCCCGUAGUCGUGUGGUAUUCCUUAGAUCUAUGUGUUUUUUUGGAUUUAUUUUUUGUGCUUGAUAUGGAAUGUGGCACUGUGAAACCUGACGGAGCUAUUACUUGUUUGAACUGUUAUUAGAAUGCUAGUUACUGCCGUCCGAGGUACCUGAUCACUCGCUGGUAUUAAGUGAUACUGAAAACUUGAGCUUAAGUGUGCAUUGUCAUAUAGAUGCAACAAUUUAAGAACACUCGUAGUAGCAUUUACGAGUGGCAAUCAGUACACAUCCAAUCGUCUGAUCCAUCGACAUCCCUGUUCAACUGCUCCUCCUUGUUUAUGAUUGAAGCUAAUUUAUCAUGUUUUCUCUCUUCCCUCUGCACCUCACUUUUGUUUGCGUACUUGUUUUGACUCUAUUUCCACGUAUAUUCCAGGUUGAUAGACUGCUUAAGGAUGAUGCGACCGAGGAGAAGGGAGAGCGUGCCAGGAUGGUUAGUUCAAAUCAUUGCCCUUUCAAUUCCUCCAUCCUUGUCUCUGCAGUGCUAUGCUAUGACGCUACAUCCAUUUAUGUCAUGUGUUUCCUUGGGUCCUGCAUCACCAAAAUACUGCCUAUAGAACAGCCAAACGCUCUCUAGUUCUUGGCUCUGGCUCAUUCCUGAUUAUUUCACAACCAAAAACUCUAUACCUGUUCUGUGUCCCAAUGGUGACCAAGCUUUUCUGCCUUACUGGUUAUGCUUUAAUACUAAUACUGAUUGCUUUUGAAGCCACAGUAUUACAUUUACUGGUAUAUCCUAUAAAUUUCUCAUUCGGAAUUGGCGAAUGUUCUGACUGACAGUAACGAAAAUGGUUUAGACUCAAAUGCUUUUUCAGGCAAGUCUUGCAUGCUAACCUGUUUCUUAUUUAGGCAUCCUUUGUUGGUGGUAUGGCAAUCAGUGAUUUGGUCAAGACAACGUUGGGGCCAAAAGGAAUGGUAUGCUCAAAAAUCUAAAGCAUCCUGGUUUUCUUCAUUUAUUUGCAAACUAUCACCCCUGAUAUUGGCUCAAAUUUUAAUCUACUCAUCAAGUGCCAAAUUUGUAAUCACAUAACCGCCUUUCUAUGUUCUAUACUCAGGACAAGAUCCUACAAUCAACUGGCAGGGGACGCAGUGUGACUGUUACAAAUGAUGGUGCUACAAUUCUGAAGUCUCUUCAUAUCGACAACCCAGCUGCUAAGGUCCUUGUUGGUAUCCUUUAAUUUGACCCUUUUUUAUUGCUACACCGGUUAGGUAAUAUCACUGUUUUAAAUCUCUGUUUCAUAUGUAUGAAGUGUUUUUUACUUCAUAUUUUUGAUAAUUUAUUGGAUCUUCUUGUUGGCCAAUCUUUAUAAUGCAAAAAUAAAAAAAAGUUAUUCCUUAAUGUGGGCCUCAGACAUCUCAAAAGUGCAAGAUGACGAAGUAGGUGAUGGAACUACUUCUGUUGUUGUUUUGGCUGGUGAGCUUUUGAGGGAAGCUGAAAAGUUGGUAAAUAUGAAGAUACAUCCAAUGACAAUCAUUGCAGGUAUAUUUCAGUUCUACAUGAUCACCAGUAUACUGAUGCCACGUAUUUACUGUUGACAAUUAGACCACUCAUGCUUAAUCGGAGUUUAAUUUGUCUUCUCACGGCAUAAGUCCUCAUCUAGAUCAUAAUUAGAGUUGACUGUGCCCAAGAGAAUCAUGUGCAAUGUAAUGCAUAUGUUCCUCACUAGCAAGUUCGUAGUACUGUUACAUUCUAUUGCUCAUGGGUUGUCUUCAAUAAACAAAAAAGUUUUUUGCAAGAAGUUCAUCCAUGUUAUGUAGACGUGUGAUUGAGCAUCACUUUCUGUACACAUGGGUCAGAUUAAACUUUUUAUUUCCUGUCCAAUGGAUUUGUUUCACCAAUUUCAGGGUUCAGGAUGGCUGCUGAAUGUGCUCGUGAUGCUUUAUUACAGAGGGCCAUGGAUAACAAGGAAGAUUCAGGCUAGUUACAUUUCCUUACGCAUGUGGUUUAUUGAUUUAAACUGAAGAUGUCCUAUAUAUUUAAUGUUUUGCCUCCUGGGAUUUAUGCAUGGAAGUUUGCUCAAAAGAUCUACCAUUUAUUGAUUGCUUGUUUGUGUUCACAGUACAUAAUUUGUCUAGCACUCUAGCAUCUCUUCCAUAAAUUGAAUCACACCACUAAUAUUCAGCUUUUAAUUCCAUGUUACUGCAGAUAAGUUUAGAUCAGAUCUGAUGAACAUUGCUAUGACAACGUUGAGUUCAAAAAUACUUUCCCAGGACAAGGAAUACUUUGCUGGUCUUGCAGUUGAUGCUGUUCUAAGACUUAAGGUACUGAAAUUGUUAAUGCUUUAUACUAUAUAUUUGCAGUUAGUUGUUUUGAACUUUUGAUUUGUGACUGUUACUACAUAUUCUGCCGCUAUAUUGCCUUAAAUACUUUUCAUUAUACCAUCAUUUAAGUCACUGCAGAUUCUGAUUUGUGUGUGCUACUACUGAAUUGCAGGGCAGUACCAACUUGGAAGCAAUUCAAAUUCUUAAGAAAACUGGAGGGUCUCUAAAGGACUCCUUUUUGGAUGAAGGGUAUGUCAGAAUUGUGUUUGACAAUAUUUAGGGAGAAAAUUUCCUUCAGUAUCCAACCUUUAUUGACCCCAAACAUCUGUUAGGUUCAAGAAUAAAGUAGUACAUGAUAUUUAUUCAUUGCAGACUAAUUAAAUUUUGAAAUUAUGUAAAUCAUCAUAUGUUGGAAGCAGCCAUGAGCAGAUCAAACUGAAGUCCUGCUCUUGAGGUGGCAAUUUCAUGAUUUUUUUUCUUUUGUAGGUUCAUUCUAGACAAGAAAAUCGGUCUUGGCCAACCGAAGAGGAUUGAAAACGCCAAGAUUUUGGUUGCAAAUACUGCUAUGGACACCGACAAAGUUAAGAUAUAUGGAGCACGUGUACGGGUUGAUUCAAUGGCUAAGGUUGCUGAAAUUGAAGCUGCUGAAAAGCAAAAAAUGAGAGAAAAAGUGCAAAAGAUCAUAGGUCAUGGAAUCAACUGUUUCGUUAACAGGCAGUUGAUCUACAACUUCCCUGAGGAACUCUUUGCAGAUGCUGGCAUACUGGCAAUCGAGCAUGCUGAUUUUGAGGGCAUUGAGCGGCUUGCUCUUGUCACUGGUGGUGACAUCGCCUCCACUUUUGAUAACCCGGAGUCUGUCAAACUUGGUCAUUGCAAGGUCAUUGAAGAGAUUAUGAUUGGGGAGGACAGGCUGAUUCAUUUCUCUGGGGUUGAAAUGGGGCAAGCCUGUACUAUUGUCCUCAGAGGAGCAAGGUAUGCUCAUGCCUAUAGUUGGACUCUUUUUUCUUUACAUUUAUCUAUAUUCCAUCUUGAGCUUGUGUUGACUGUGUGCUUUUACCUGCAGUGAGCAUGUGCUUGAUGAAGCAGAGAGGUCCCUGCACGAUGCCUUAUGUGUGCUUUCACAAACAGUGAACGACACCCGUGUGUUAUAUGGUGGUGGAUGGCCUGAGAUGGUUAUGGCCAAAGAAGUAGAUGGACUGGCGAGAAAGACACCUGGGAAGAAGUCCCAUGCUAUCGAAGCCUUCUCGCGCGCUCUUCAGUCCAUUCCAACCAUCAUCGCUGACAAUGCUGGUCUGGAUAGCGCUGAUCUGAUCUCUCAGCUCAGAGCAGAGCAUCACAAAGAGCAGAGCACUGCUGGAAUUGAUGUCAUUUCUGGCGGCGUAAGUUUGCUAGUGCAUAUCAGAAGUUGCAUUUACAUUUGUUCUAGGGGUUGGAGCUGAUACUAAGACUUCUUCCGCAGGUUGGAGACAUGGAAAAGCUGGGGAUAUCAGAGUCGUUUAAGGCGAAGCAAGCUGUUCUUAUGUCUGCUACCGAGGCAGCGGAGAUGAUUCUCAGGGUCGAUGAGAUCGUCACUUGUGCUCCACGGAGAAGGGAGGACAGGAUGUGAUGUGUCUGAUAUUUGUGUUCUAAUCUGAGGGUGUUUGUUUUUUUGAAGUGUUUUGUAUCAGGUCGUCUUGUAGACACAUAUGGGACGGCCGGGUCUGUAUUAUCAUGAAAGCUUUGUCCUAACAGCGGAACACUUUGAAUGGGAUUCUUAUUUGCAGCUUUACUCAUGUGCGCUUGGCUCAAAAUAUGUUGGGUUUCGGUCUUGAGUAUACAUUCUAUUGUACCAUGUUAUCUGUUUGGAUCAUCAUUCUUUCUGUAAUGAACAUUACUCCCUUUGGUUGCACUUGGGCAUGUCACAUGUUUUGCUGACAUGAGUUACACUUACACAUCAAGCCAUACUGAGCUAAGCAUGGACCAAGGUCACUAUCAAUUGCAUUCUUGGGACUCUUUGAGCUCUGCAGGCCUAGAUGACUCAAUCAAUGUUCCAUAGUUUCUUGUUUAUCUGAUCAUUGAUGAGCAGGUGCCUACUGUUGAUUUGCAAAGGUAAGGAUAUAAGGAAUGGUCCAUACACAUCAUAGAGACAUAAUAUGCAACACACAGGAUAAAAGUACGAACGGAAUUAAAAGAACUGUGCCUGGAUAACGAACCAUCAAUCGACAACAAUGGAUGAUACAACAAAACUGUUUCGGAGCAUGCAAGCUAGAAGAACUAAUCAUGCAAUGCACAAGCAUUUACAUGGAAAUCAUGAUCCAUCUCCAGCACUGACAUAUCACCGUCAAACAGUGUGCAAUCCUCGUGCUGAAUUGCUGACGGUGAGAAGCUAGGCUGGUUAAAAAUAAUACAUCAGGUUUGCGAGGUUGCUCAACUUGCAUUCUGCAUAUCAAUGGCUUCGAUGCUGUGUUCAUCCAGCUCUUGGGAAUAAAAAUCAAACAAGAAUCAAAUUUGACUCAGUGUAACGCCGACAUGAAUAUGGACAUGAAACCUAUAAGGAUUUAGGGAUGAAAACAAAUGCUUGAAUGAGAAGUGUUAACAACAACAACACGAAUUUGGUUAUGAAAGUAAAUGCUAGAAUAAAAAAUCAACAUGAAUUCGGUUAUGAAUAUGGUUUCGCCCAUCUCCUCCCACUUCCCCGGCAUUCUCUCCCAAACCACCCUAAGGCUGUGUUCUUCCCCACCUUCCCGAACUCACCUCCCUCGUGUUCUCCGUGCACGCUUUUCAAACUGUUAAACGGUGUGUUUUUUAUAAAAGGUUUUUGUACGAAAGUUUCUUUAAAAACAUUUUAAUCCAUUUUUUUUAAAAAAAUAAUAUUAAUUAAUCAUAAGAAAAUAUGUCGCUCCGUUUUGCGUGCGCAGGAUGUGAGGUUCCAAUCUCACCUCCCGAACACAGUGUUAUUGUUCUUCUAUUGCUCACCCUUCGUUGCUAGCCCCCAAAGCCUAAUUAAUCUGGCAAAGCUUGCUAGAGUUUGGUUGUCGAGGACGUUGAGGGGCUCUUCGAGGAAGUUGAUGUCGUGCGGAUUUAGUAGAAUCUCACUUGACUGAACAGUAGCAAAAGUGAUAAAUAAAUGCCAAAAUUAACUAAAACCGACACAAAUUUGGAUAAGAAGAUAAAUGCUAGAACGACAACUAUUUAUAAAACCGACGUGGAUUUAGACAUGAAAAGUGAAUGCUAAAACGACAAGUUUUUACAAAACUGACACGGAUUUAAACAUGAAAAUAAACGCUAGAAUAAGAAUGACGGAGGGACUAUCGAUUCGGUAUAAAUGAACCCUCCAUCACAACUAGUCACCAGCCAUACCAAUAGAGACGGAGCUCCUCUGACGUAAAGUUAUAGAGACAUGGAACCCUAACGGGUGGGGCCCAUCUUUAUAGGCCCACAUGUCAGUGACCAUGUCUCCUCAGACUUUAAGUCAGGGGAGCCUCUUCCUACCAACAGCUAUCACCCUCUGAACAAAUCAAGCUAACCCAUCAGUUACAAGCACAGACAGUCGGUCUACUGAUCCAUGCAACAAUUUUUGUCCCUUGCAAGUAAGCCUAAUCCAUGCAACAUGCAUGACUCAACUACACCUAAUGGCAUCGCAUCCUGCCAAUUUCUUUUUGUUGCUUCAGUUUCUUUUCCUUUUGUUGCACCGCUCGCUCCCUCCCUUCGUUUCCGCGCGCGCGGCCCAGCCCAUCACAUCACAUGGCUCGUUCUCUUCAAACUGCCGUCUCGACGUGUCCUCCGGCCGCGCCGCCACCUGUCAGGCUCUUGUGGACGCUGCCCUCGCCGUCGGAAGCGCUCUCCUCCUCCUCCGCCGCCGCAACCGCCGCCGCCGCGGCGACCUUCUUGGCCUUGGCGUACUCGCCGUAGAGGUAGGAGGAGAAGCCCCAGGCGCAGAGCGCGGUGGCGAGGGCCUUCUCCGCGCCGAACGGGUCGCCGAACACGGCGACGCCGCCGAGUACGUUGAGGGUGAGCACGGCGGCCAUGCAGACGCCGCUGUGGAGCGACGAGGUGAGGUAGAUCACGCCGGCGGUGCCCAUGAAGCACGCCUGCCACGUCAGCACCAGCGUCGCCACCACCGCCCAGUACACCGCCGGCGAGGACCCGCCGUCCACCCAGCCGGACACGUCGUCCGCCACGCCGCCCGACGCCGCCAGCCCCACCGCCGCGAUGAGCGACGCCAUCGCCUGCAUCACCGCCUGCACCUCCACGGCCAGGACGAACCCCCCGGAGACGGCCUCGCGGUACACCAGCUCCAUCACCGGCAGGUACGCCGAGAAGAGCCCCGCGGCGCCCAGCGUGACGACGAACCCGACGAGGUAGCUCUUCCUGCCGCCGCCGCCGACGCCGCCCUCCGCCGUCUCACCGGAGUCCCCCGACCGGAGCGCGAGGAGCACCGAGCUGAGCGUCAGCAGCACGACGGCAUUGAGGUUCACGAAGGUGACCGGGUGGCGGACGAUGACGACGGCGAGCACCAGCGUGAACGCGAGCUGCGUCGACAGCAGCAGCGACGACGUCGACACGGGGAGGAGCGACGUGCUGUACGCGAAGAGCAGGUUGUUGGCCCCCAUCAGGGCGCCGAUGACGAGGCAGACGGCGAGGAACCGCCGCGACAGCCACGUGAACGGCCGCGGCGCCGACGCCGGCCGGCCGCCGGCGAGCGCGCCGGCGACCAGCAGCGGGAACCCCGCCGACUGCACCAGCGUCACCACCCACCGGUUCCGCCCGCCGUGCGUGAAGUAGAACCUCGACAGCAGGCUCGACGCCACCGACCCCACCAGCAGCGCCGCGUAGUUCGCCAUUAGGAGCAGCAUCCUGCGCCGGCGAGGCCCCGCCAUGGCGGCGGCGACGGCGGCGGCGAUUGCCAUCGUUAUCGGCGAGGAGGAGGAGGAGGAGUGUGUAGGCGGCGAUGGCGAUGUGAGUCUCCACUUAUUUAUGCAGAUGAUGAGAUGAGAGGGGAUAAAAUGGCGUAUUAUAUAAUAGAUGAUUUUUUUUCUUCCAAAGUUUGACUCCUUUUGCAUUUUCAGGUUCUACGCCUUUCGUUUUCAAACAAAAUUAAAAGUAGCAAAUUGAAACUGAAAAAAAUAAUCAAGGUGACUGGUUUGUCUACAAAAGAAGACGGAAUUUAAUUGCUAGAGACCAUGAUCGGGAUAUGAGAUACAUGAAUGUGCUGUUCAUGAGUAGGUCGUUCUAAAAAUGGAGUAAAUUAAACCAUACUUAAUUAUGGCUACAAAUUGAUAAUAAAUGGUCAGUAUAGCAUAUCUCUUUAUCAUUCUGGUGAAUUAAUUGAUAUAGAUUCCAAUGCAUCCGUUGAUGAUAAUAAGAUGAUGAUUACAGAGAAUGUUUUCAUCCCUCGAGGGUACAAAACAAGUCCUAUAAGCAGAAGUCCCAUUUGAAAGACAAGAAAUUCUCCUCGAUUCAUAUGUAUGUGAACCGAAUUUUACAAUCCACCAGUUCAUGUCUGAUUUAUCUGCACCAUCCAAACUAACCAAAUGCAGCAAAGUGAUCAGAAUGCCAGCCCAGUAGUAAUUAAUCCGCAGUAAAAAUCCAGCUGCAUUUUACGCUGACCCGAUCUGCGUCUGUUUGCUCUGCCCGCAUUUGCUGGCAAGUGGAUGACAACGACGACAUGCCGGCUGGCCGGCCGGCCCGGCGCGCGGCGACUCGCCGGAAUGCAAGCAAGCAAGCACGGACGUUAAAGCUAGCUAUAUAUCCAGCCGAGCACGCACCCCAAAACGAGAACUGAAUAACUGAACCGUUCUUGUGUGUGGGUUUUUGUUAUAAAAGUUAGUCCAAAUUGCGGAAGACUCUUGUUAGCCAUUGAUCAACCCCAGACAUAACAAACCACGACAUAUAUAUACUAGAAUUUAUUAAUGAUAUUUAGCCGAAACAUAUACUCACAAGACUCGGAUUAUAUAUAGGUGUUUCUCUUCGAUUAAAAUAGCACGUGUUAUAGUGUGUCACGUGUUUGGAUCACUUAUGAUAUUCUUUCGGGUUCAGCUUCUAAUAUAUGUAUCGGUGCCGAUUUUUGUAACAGUUUUCUCCGAAAAUCAGGCUAGAUCGAGAUCGAGCUAUAGCUAGCUACCGAAUCGAGCUUGACACUUGUCAUGGCAACCAGCGGAUGCGACCAGGAGUGAUCGAGGACGAAACGGCCCAAGAAAACGAGGAGAUCACUAUGACUCCUCCUAGCUAGCUGCUCCAGAUCACUACACGAUAUAUAUGUCUGUGUCUUAUCUGAUGACGACGACCUGCCUCCAGCUAGCUAGCUAACAACCUCCAUGGAUAUAUUGCGUCUCAAGUAUGCUACAUUUGGGCAUGCAAGGCAUGUGCUAAGCUGUCCGAAACGUUCAAGAUUACUUAAGGGUUUUUUUUUCAAUAGCUAAAUGAUUUGUGAUAAAUAUUCAAAGGUACAAACAAAUAAAUUAGGUAUUAGAAGAUUGAAAAUGGAUUUAAGAAGAUUUUCCAAUAAAAAAAUCAUAUAUAGAAAGUUUUUGCAGAAAAAAUGUAUCAUUUAUGAGAUCGGAAAACAUGUCGCCAUUCCAUUCCAUUCCCACUCAGAGGAAAAAGAACAGGCAUAUCAAUCUAUAUAUAGGGAGUGGAUUUUGAUCUCUCGAGGCAAUGUUGAAACUUGCAUAUUUGUGGAGUGAUAUAUCACAUGUUAAUACAUCUUCUUCUUUUUUUUAAUUUUUUUCAUAACCAUUUGAGUGACAUUCAAACAACAAGGUGACAUUCUCUCGAGGGAUCAAAAUAGUUUCCCUGGGUUUGUUUGUUCUAAAAUAUAUAAAUCUGUAAGAUUUAUCGCCCAACGUAUCGUGUGAUGAUGUGAUCCAUAUACCCUUUCAUGGUUUUGGCCAUAUGAAUAGCAUGGUUUUCUGAAGAUCACGUUCAGGGAACAGCUUGUCGAGCCUUUCUUGGAUAUGCAGUACGGACGCGCUGAGAAAUUGAGAACCAAGCUAGCUGCUCUUUCACUGGUUCAACACGUCACGGCUUACAAAUUGAGACGCCGAUCUUUUUUCUCUCAAAAAGGAAAAUUACAUGGAACUAACCUGAUCAGAUGGACGUCUACAUCUGCUACUAUAGUACUUAAGAUGGAAACUGCAGGAUAAUGAAUGCAUUACAGUAGUAGUUCAGUCAUAAUUCAGAAACCUUCAUGUUUCUUCCAAGUUUCCAAGUUGGUGCUCAUGUAAUUAUCCUAGCACAGUAAGUAGAUUGCGCAGCGAUUCUCUCUGCUGUGCCAUUCGGAUAUGCACAGAGAAAUUUAUAUGAAGAAAUUGGGAUCAGGUCCGAGAAUUAUUUGCGUCAAUUUCAAAUAUAUAUCUGAAUGUUCUGAACUUGACAAAUUCUACAACAGACUGAGAUCAUGCAUAAGUCAUAAGAGAGCAUACAAAGCCACGUAGGAUUGAUUGCUUAUCUGUAUUCUUCUAGGCCCUUACAAGGGGUUGCAACACUGCAGCAACCAAGAAACAUAGUACAGUACGCUGAUCAGAACUCAGAAGUUCAUAAUCAACAUUCCCUAGUACUGCUGCAUGUCUGCAAGUAUGGCAGAAAGCCAGAAAUGCACAUAGCUCAAGGAUAAUAUGGACGAACUGUAGUAUGAUUGGCGCCAUCAUUCAUGCAGCAGAAAUGCAUCCAUCUUAAGGUUGGCCAUUAGCCAUUCACUAGCUAGCUACCUAUGCACACAUGCAGAACUGCAGAUAGAUAGAAAGAUAAAUCCAUCAGGAAAUUCAGGAUAGAUAGAGUAGAUAGCUAGCCAGUGGCAGUACUUUCAGGAAGAUUUAGCCGGCUAGCUGCUCGAUCGAUCUGUCUACUUCUAAUUGGGAUGAUAGAUGCGUGUUCUUAAUCCAUGCAAUUGGCGUCUGACAACAAGAGAUAGCGCGUGCUGUAUUUUUUCUGUGUGAUUAGAGAGAGAAUAAAGUGAGUGUGAUUGGAGCCUAAUAAUUGCAUUUGACAUCAAAGUAAGCACUAGGUUGACUAUUGCUGUGGACCUGCAAGUGUUAGGAGUACUGUUCUUCUCCAAUGGGUGAUAAGAGUAUUUCCUUUUCAAUCGCUAUAUAAUUUUUUCGAGAUAACAACAGCAGAACACACCACAUGCACACCUGGUUAGGAGGGGAUUAGACCAAUCCGUUCCGGUUAAAAAUUUGAGUUCAUAGUCCAACAUUAAUCAAACCAAAUUUCACUAUUUAGAGUUGUGUUUAGCCGCGGUAGUUUUCUAAGCUUCAGUUUUCUUGUUUUUCUAUUUUGCUUUUUCUCUCUUCCCCUGGCAUAAACCGGUCUGGCUGGUUGCGUUGUGUAAUAAAAACUAUUUUCUUCUAAUAUAUUGACGUGCAAUCCUUUUACGCGUUCGCGAAAAAUUGAGCAAACUAAAUUCUAAAAUUUCAGAAGGGGAUAAAAUACCCUUCUCUAAAAAAAUAAAAAAAAUUCACCUGAGGCAUUUCGCAACAAAAAUGGAAACUAACUUAGCAUUCGGCCCAAUAUAGGCCUUGUUUGGGUGGGCAUCAAUCUAGACCCAGUCCACGUACGUGGGGCUAGGUCUAUAGACCUGGAUGGGCCGGGAUUUUGGACUAUCCAAAUAAGUCCUUCUAAAGUUGGGCCGAAGAGAAACUAAAAAAGGCCCAAAUGUGGACUAAUAACACUAGCACCCCUACCAGGCCGGAAAGCCCACUCCGCGUGUGGAAUUCAUAGCGAAGCCCAACGUGUCACUCCGUUAGCAGCAACGAGACCCCGAAACCCUAAGCCUCACCUAUAUAAUGCUCCACCACGCCGCCACGCGCUCGAUUUCACUCGCCGCCGCCGCCGCCGCCUCCCUACUCUCUGCCGCCGCCGUCGCCGCCGCUUGCUCCGUACUCCUCCUCUUCAGCGGCGAUGAAGGGACGGCAAGGCCAGCGCGUGAGGCUGUACGUCCGCGGCACCAUCCUCGGCUACAAGAGGUGACAGCUCGCUCUCCCCCUGCGUGGCGUCUCCGCCUUCUCCGUCAUCGCCGCGGUGGAGUGGUGUUGAUCUUGGUUUGGCGUUGAUUUGCUCGCGCAGGUCGAAGUCGAACCAGUACGAGAACACGUCGCUGCUGCAGAUCGAGGGGGUGAACACCAAGGAGGAGGUUGGGUGGUACGCCGGGAAGCGCAUCGCCUACGUCUACAAGGCCAAGACGAAGAGCAACGACUCCACCAUCCGCUGCAUCUGGGGCAAGGUCACCCGCCCGCACGGCAACUCCGGUGUCGUCCGCGCCAAGUUCCGGUCCAACCUCCCGCCCACCUCCAUGGUGAAUCUCGCUCUCACCGUCGUCUGCGCCAUCAUUUGAUCCAGUCCAUUCCGCUCCUGAUUGUAGUUUUGGCCAUUUCUGAUGUUUUUGUUGGGUCGAUAUGGUGGUGCAGGGC
rnacentral:lncRNA from 1 species